CCUCGAUCACUAGCUUAUAAGGUUCCCAUUAACCUAAUCAAGCUAACCACCCGACUCGGCCUCGAGUCAAUCAUCCGCGGAUAGUCCGCGCACUGGCUGCACCUCAGCCUGGCUGCCGUCGCAGCCUACCGCAGAUCUGACUUAACCAUCUGGCGGCGAACUCAUCGCUCUCACCCAACAACAACUCAAGUCAUGACUUAGCCAUCUGGCGGCGAACUCAUCGCACCUCACCCAACAAUGGUUCAAGUCAUAACUUAGUCAUCUGGCAGCGACCACAUCGCUCUCACCCAACAAUGGUUCAAGUCAACCUAGGCGGCAUCAUCCGAUAAGCUAAUGGGCGAGGAGAACCACACAUACCCAAUUCCAGCUUAUUCUCAUGGCAUCCCGGGCGAGGAGAACCACACAUACCCGUUGAAUCACUGCCAGGCGAGGAGAACCACACAUACCUGCAGUUAUGAUUCGCUUGCCAUCUCUUUUACCACAAUUUCCACCGCUCCAUGUGCGGCCACAUCACUAGGGAUUCCGGAAUCCAUUUCAUAACUCAAGGGUUGGUUUCAAACCCUAUAGCAUUGACCUAUCUAGGUCCAACGUCCUUUUCACCCUAGGUCCAACUGACUCUAGGUUCAACGUCUCUAUCACAUAACCUAGGUUUACUUAACUCUAGGUUCAAUCCAUAACCUAUGUCCUUUAACACUAGGUUAGAUGCCACUCAUGAUUCAUCCUAGGUUCAACAACACUAGGUUCAUUGUCAUUCAUGUCCAACCUAUGUUUUAUACACUAGGUUAGAUGCCACUCGAUCUAGUUCACAUGACUCUAGAUUCAUUCACAACCUAUGUUCUUUAACACUAGGUUAGGUGCCACUCGAUCUAUUUGACAUCCUAUUGUCAUCUCGAGUCUACAUGUACACGAAUCUUAUCCAACAUGCUCAUUAUACACAUAUGUAUUAAUAUGCAUUCACUUACUAGCAUGGUUUCUUAUCAUAUUAACAUGCACAUUACAUUUAGCAUUUCUAGACUAUGUCAUCAACAUGCAUUUCAUUCUAUGCAUUAUAUUUACAUGCAUCCUUCUAGUUUACAUGCAUAUAUAUAAUCUUUUAUAUGCAUCUACUUUAGCAUUUACAUCAUAUCAUGCAUUACUAGCAUUACAUUAUUAUCAUGCAUUACUAGCAUUAUGUAACUUGCUCACUAUGCAUUUCUACUUAGCAUUCACAUUAACAUGCAUUGUUUAACACUUAUAUGCAUCAACACGAAUUCUUAAUAUUCUUAGACAUAAGGGCGACCUAGUCGCUUCGGUAAGCACAACCCACCUUAACUUACUCUCCGAUUGCUUGUAGUCACUUGCAAUCGGCCGCCCGCGACACCCGCGACCCGGUUUGGCUCGAACUCUCGCGCGACCACCCAAACGAUCUCCGAUUUGCGAUCCGGAAAUUAAAGGUCUUCGGUUAUGUGCCACGGUGCUUCAAAUCCGUUUUCAUGAUUUUACGACAUCGCCUCGGCCCUCCAGGCGGAAACGAAGCCUAAACGUCCGUUUCUUUAAUAACUUUGUAACGGCUCGUCGGAUUGCCGAUCCGUCUUCGCCAACGCGUUUCGUUACCUAGCAAUUAGGUUUAUAUAUGUUCAAUUUAGAUCAAACCCAUCUAUUAGCAAAAAUUGUAUUUUGGAGCCCUAGGUUGCAACUAUGCAAGAAAUCAUCAAAUCCCUUCACGAAUUAAGCAUCAAUCAUCUAGAUAGCAUGCUAGGAUUCCUCUAAAUCCAUUUCUAAGCUAUUUAAACCAACCAUUAAGGAUCUACCAUUAAAGGGUAGCAAAAGCUUACCUCAAAAUUAGCUCCAAAUCAUGGAGAAGAUGAAGAAGACGAAGGCGAUCCACCUCCAAGCUUCAAUCUCCACCAAAUCCAUCCAUUUUGGGAGAGAUUUAGAGAGAGAAAUGGAAGUUCUCUCUCUCCCUUCCAUGCAUGCGUGUGUGUGUGUGUGUCGCAUGCGGUUUGGGGCUGCUGCGGCUGAGGAAGGAGAAGAAGAAAAGGGAUUAAAUCCCUUUUUACCAUUUUGCCCCUCAACUAUACACUAUUCACUACGGGCAGCUUGAAAUCUGAUAAAUUUCGUUGGAGCCCUUCCGGAUGUCCGUUUUCGCUCAAAUUUGACAGGCAUGUUCGGUUUCACUUAAUAAGUCCAAAGAAAUUUUAAUAUUUCAGUUUCGACCCCGUUUGGUCACUGAAAACUGUACCGAACUGCAAUCUUUAUCAGAUAGCUUUCGGAUUCGAUUUCUCUCUCUACGGGUGUCAGAAAAAUAUGAAACUUUAAAUCUAGCCUCAUAAAAAUAUUUCUGACAUCUCCGCCAAUUUUCAUAAUUUUCUGACACUGUGCAUUUUCUGCUAAUUUAUCUGCCCCGUUUCUUACAGAAAAUUCUAAAUCUUCUGUUUUCGCUCCGAUUUCAGCACAGGUCAUUCCCAACUUGUAUUUCAGUUAUCUAAAUCCAAUAAAAAUAGUAUCUCAUACUAUUUUAUUUAUUUUCACUUUUAUAUUUAAAAUCCGGUAUGUUACGUUGCACCGCAACCUCACCGGAACCAUUUAAAUAUACACCGUAACUUCAUAGUUUUAGAAGUCUGGUACCUUACACUUAGGAUGAGAGGGUGGAGGAAAAUGAGAGAAAACAAGCCCUAGACCCCUCUUGUAGGUCCAACUAAUACAAUUUUGCCAAAAACCCCUCCAACAAUGCAUUUAGUGCAUUGCCCCUCGCGGGGCACUUUUUUUGUAUAGGGAACCGGUCCUUGGACUUGAGGGUCCGGUCCCCGUAGGUCCAGAAUUCCAGCAUUUUAGGACUUAGCCAAAUUUUCAGCUUUUUCACCGUUUCUUCUCCGUUUUCGCUCGUUUUCGCUCGUUUGACCUCCGAUUCUUUUCAAAUCGAACCGAGACUCUCCAAACAUGUUUUCGAGCGUGUUUUCAUCAUCUCUAUCCCCGCUAAUGCCGGAUUUAGUUCACGGCCCAACAUAGCUUUUCGGGUUCCAUUUUCGUGCCUACGCGCACCGAAACGCCCGAAUGCUUCCAAAUCUCACCGAACUUCACCGGAACCAUUCAAAUGGCUUCCCAACCAAGUGUACACCGUAACUUCAUAAUUUUUGAAGUUCGGUACCUUACAAUAUAAGUUGCAGAACUUAUAGUCAAAUAAUUUUAAACAGGAAUAGUAAGAAAACACCAUCACAACAAUAAAAAAAAUAAUAUACAGAACACACUGGUUGCAAUUAUUCGCAAUUUCCAUCCUAGUUAAUUUACUUUGUAAAAUAUCAGUUAAGCCAAUAGAUAAGUUAAGCUGGCAGAUAGGGUAGACACAAAUCCCAUACAAAUACACAAUUAAGCAAGAUAGUUAAACGUAUUUUGUACAAAAGUCCGAAUAUAAGGAAAGGAAAUAGAAUUUAAUUAGAAAGUAUACCUGCCUAAAUUAAGGAAAUACCUCCAUGUUGACUAAUGAAAACCUGAUUUUGUCAGAAAUUAUAUGUAAAUAAAUGAAAGGUAAUGAAAAGUAUUUGGUAUACAAAAGAAAGAAUAAAUAAAUUAGAACUAAUAGUAAAUUUGCAAUGUCUUUUUCCAAUCCACAUAUGCAGUAGAUGAAACAAUAGUAGCAAAAGAUCAAGUGAAGCAGCAACUUCGAAAAUUGAUUAUAGAAGUAAAAAAAACAUCAUCACAAUAAUCGAAAAGAUAUAAAGUGAAAUAAAAUGAAGAAGCAGCACCUAAGGUUAAAUAGAAGCUAGAGAAAUAUCAGCAAGAACUUGUAGUAAGAAACGAUAUAGAAAAGAAAGGGGAAAAAAAAUGCAAACCUAAACUAAUGGUAAAAUAUACAUCAUUAGGAGUAUAAGCAGUAGUAGUAGAAAUUUGAGCAAAUCGAAAAAGAUAAACAGGUAGUAAAAUUCAAUUUUUACUAUAGGCUCAGACAUGUAAUGAGUAUUAUCAAUAGUCAACAAUAGUAUUUUUCUCAUUUCAGAAGUCAUCGAGAAAAGGUGCCGCGUAUAGUUAUAUGUUCUCAAUAGCUUAUAUAUUUCUUGCUGGGGGUAAUUACUGGUUGCAUUUAUUUAGUAACUGCCAUCCUAGUUGAUACCCAAUCGACAGAGAAAUAGAGUUUUUUUUUGCCGCAAAUAAAAUUUUUACAGAGGCAUAUUAUAAAGGCAGCAAGAAGGGACCGCGGAGAAUGAAUUCGAACCAUUUUCGUAACCAGAGGGGAUGAAUAAGCCGAAAUAAAGCGUCGCUAAUGGGAAGGGUGUGACUGGAAGAAGGGCGCCGACCAUGAAACUCAGCCCAACAUUUCGUCCAGAGAGGGAACAGGAAUCGGAGCGGCAUCUUGGGGGGUGAAUGAAACGAAGCGUCGCUAACGGAAACGGGCGCGACGGGAAAAAGGACUGAUCAUUCUGUCCAGAAAGCGAUCAGGAGUUGGAGCGGGCAUCUAGAGGAGCGAGCGAAGGAGCCGGAGGUGGAAGACGAAGUUAAUUAGAAGCAGGGAAAAUUAAAUGGAAAGCAGAGUAGGGAGGAAAAGAAAUUUGGUUGGGUGGGCCCCACGCACUAAUUAAUUAAUAGAGUAUCUUAAGAUGACAGGUAGGGCCCACAAAAAGAUUAAAUUAAGCUAAUGUUGCCACGUGGACAAAGAGAAUGGGCUUUCAUAAGGGGUAUAGAUUAUUAGCAAGCAGCAAUAAUAUUUUUCUCAUGUUAAAAGUCUUUGAGAAAAAACGUCCUGUAAGACAGGUAGGUCACACAAAAAUAACUGGUUGCAAUUAUUUUGUAAUUGCCAUCCUAGUUAAUUUACUGUGUAAAAUCUUCAUUGACAUUCAACCGUAAUUUUAUUUCAUUUUGUCAUAAUCGCCAAAUAUAUAAGCAAUUACAAAUAUAAACUAUCUCAAUCUUUGCUUCAUCACUUGUCAAACGAAAUCCUUGGUUGCAACGGUUGCAUAACUGCCAUCCAAGUUGCCUUACCAUGUAUAUACUCUUUUCAUAUUAAUCAUCAGAUUAUUCAUUUUGUCAUCAUCGCCAAUGCCAACAAAUAAAAAACUUAAUAUUACGUUCGUAGAAUUUAUUAGAAAGUAUCUGAAAUCAUCAAGUAUUAAAAAAUAAUAAAGCAACAACAAAGUAAAAAGUGAACUGCCUCAAGAUUGAUAAGAGGAACUGGUUAAAUGGAAAUACACAAUAUAUAUAUAUAUAUAUAUAUAUAUAUAUAUAUAUAUAUAUAUAUAUAUAUAUAUAUAUAUAUAACAUCUUUGUUGGUCAGAAGCUACCAACAUUAAUUUAAAAUAUACUAUGCGGUAGGAAAAUUGUAGUAAAAAAAAUAAGAAAAUAAAAACAUUGAAAACAUCAUCAAACCCUUUCUUGGAACUGAAGGAAAUCAAAGGAAAUAGUCAGUCAAGAAAUCCAAUUAUGGCCCACUUAGGUAUUGCGUUUCCAAAGACAUCCAAUUUUUUUUUUUUUUAAAAAAAAACUGAAACUGCUUAUAAUCUUCCCUCCCCCAAUGCAAUUUACAGUGGCACCGCCGCCAGAGAAGCAUGUAAUCACAUGCUUCAUGUUCCAGUAAAAAAAAAGAAGAUUUCUUUAUGUUUAAAAGCUUUAGAAGAUUUAUAUACAAUAGAAGCGACCAAAUUGGCUGUGUGAUAAGUAACUCCGAUUAAGAAGAGGGACCUUUUCGUCUAACAGCCAAAAAUGAAAGUUCAGGCACCAGUUUGCAAAAGUGCUAAGGUUCAGGGUUUGCACUUAUUUUCCAAUGUUCUGCAAUCUGAAGAGAGAGGAAUGAGUUACGAAUCUAGUAAUGGACAUUUCGAAGGGCACUGAGGAGUCUUACAUGACUUUGGUAUAGCAAUUAGCAAUAGUUACUUCUCUGAGUUCUAAUUCAGUUCUCAAUGUAGAAAUCAAUCAAUCAAAAUAGUAAUUACUCUCUUUGCAGAUGCUUGUUCAUGGUAAGUGCUUCCUACAGUGAGAGGCGGGACACCAAUAUGAUCAUUAAAUUUCUGCUAAUUAUCACACUAAACAUGAAGAAAAACUCUGCCAACAUACCUCUUUGUCCUUCUAGCAAAAACAAUUAUGAAGAAUUGAAGAGUUAAUUUCCAUUAAUAUUGAAGAAUCGUAAAGCAUGACUAAACGGAUGGAGAGUAGAAAAAGGACUAAAACUAAAGAUUUUAUCCAAAUAUUAACCCUUCCUCUUAUAAAUCCCAUUUUUCAAUAGUGCUCUCUCUUUAAAAAACAAAUCUUUCAUAAUUGAGCCAAAAAAAUUGCUUAAAACUGAUAUAAAAAAAACUACCAAAUCCUUUUGUAUUGAAAUUAAGAAUUUCACAAAAAUGUGCAUUGAGAUCAAAACCGAUCUCCAUCACCAGAAUUAGCAAAGGAAGGUUUUAGCUUCGACCGAUAGAUUGAUUGGUUGAAAAUUUGUUUGAACUGAAGUAAUGAUAGACUAAUACGAAAAUUUGGUCUUAAUUGAAUGUAUAAUCAGCUUAAAAAGUCAGAUUACUAUGACAACUUGAACACAAUUCAACUUUGACAUCAUCACAUUGGCACCAACCAAUAAAAUUGCAUUGAUACAUAGAUAAAUCAAAAAACUCCUACUAUAUAUAUAUAGCAUGUGGUCUAGGGCCAAUGAUAAAUCAAAAAAUUACCACUUCACAGCAUAAAAAGUUUAGCUUUAGCAAACUGUGGAUGAACAGGAAUAACAGAAAUAUAGCCGAAUUAGCAAAGGAAGGUUUUAGCUUCGACCGAUAGAUUGAUUGGUUGCAAAUUUGUUUGAACUUAAGUAACGAUAGACUAAUACGAUAAUUUGGUCUGAAUUGAAUGUAUAAUCAGCUUUAAAAGUCAGAUUCUAUGACAACUUGAACAGAAUCCAACUUUGACAUCAUCAGAUUGGCACCAACCAAUAAAAUUGCAUUGAUACAUAGAUAAAUCAAAAAGUUCCUACUAAAAAAACCAACAAAUCUACGCAAGUAUCAAACUUUGAUAUUCUAAAAGAGACUAAUACAUAUAUACAAUCUAUUUUGCAAACAAAUCAUAUAUGAAAGUAUUAUUAUUAUUAGCGGCAUAACAAAUCAUAUAUGAAAGCAUUAUGAUUAGCAGCAUUAAGAUGUAAAAAAAAAGAUAAGUGUUGUGACCUCUUCAACAUAUAUGAAAGCAUUAUGAUUAGCAGCAUUAAGAUGUAAAAAAAAAGAUGAGUGUUGCGACCUCUUCAACUAUAGGCCAUUUUUAUAUUUGUGAGGAGCAUCAAAAAAGGGAUCUUUUUUCACCUCCAAAACAUUCGGCUUCGUUAUAAAGAGGAACCACGAUCGUGACGACGCAAUCGGCGAGCAUGGUGAUGACGAACCAGGCGCUCGCGAGCAUGAAGGCGUAGGGGUUAAUCAACAAAUAUUAGAAAUAAUACGUAAUUAUAUCAAAAUUGGUGAUGAAACAAAUUCGCAAACUUGCAUAAUUGGCUAGAAAAUUUAAAAACGAAACUCUUAAGGGUGAUGAGAGAAACUAAAAUGGUAAAUUAUUAAAUAGGGAUAAAUACAAUCCAAAGACACAAAAACUUGCUGAAAGUUGCAAAACCAAUAGAAGUUGGGUUCAUUGCAAGAAUGUUGAGCAAAGUAACAUGUUUGUAGAGUUAUUCAUGACCAAAAUAAAUCAAAUGGGAUUAGUACUUGUCGGGCUAAUCGAAGUGACUGGAAGGCAAAUGUGCCUAUCUAGGACGUAGUUGCUAGCUAUGCUAUGCUUGCCGACCAUUUAAAUGCUCGUCACCUCUGUGCAUGCAUGCAUGCUGGUUCUCUAGAUCAAAUUUUUUUCUACUUAAGUUGUUAGGUUAAUGGAAAGUGACUUUCAUUGCAAUUUCAAACUUGUCAGACACUCACAUGAGAAGAAAUUGCAUCAAGCCAUUGUUCACUGUCAACUAUUUUGAUCACCCACCACCACCCACCCUAUGAAACAAAAUUUAGUAGGAUCCGUUCUGUAGUACAACAGAGGGAGAUAUAAACCAUCAGUUAUCAUUCUAUCCACAUUUUAAAUUAAAAACAGGAUUGAAUGCUAUUUGAUGGCUUAUAUACCUUCACCUGCUCUGGUAGCCAUCAACGAUUGUUUAUCCUGAAAAUAUUUGGCACAUCAUUGUAUUUAUUUUUAAUAUGACAUUUAUUGCUAGCUAUUUCUUAAUUUUUAAGGAAAACUAAACUCCGGAAAAAGUCUAAUCAUAAAACUAACAAAUUGCACUAUAAAAUGUUAUAUACCUAGGACUUAAGAACCCUCAACAUGGCGUAGCCACUCCUGGAAACAAGGACUUCAUAGCAACCAAGAUUAAAUAGAUAACAAAUACGAUACAAAAUGAAACGAAAAUAAAACCAAAAUCACCAAUCGAAGCAAAGCAGUUCUUUAAAAAUACCUAGUAAUAACAAAAAUUUUAAAAAAAAGGAAAAGAGAGGGGGUUUGGGGGAGUGUUUACCUGAUGAUCACACGAUGCCUAAGUACUAGGGUGUUAGAGUGGCAGCGGUAGCGGCAACCAUCAUGAUCGCGGCCAAGACCUUAGGGUUUCAAAGUGUUUAGCUUGCAUACACAGAAUACCAGAGCCACUGAGUGCUGUGGCCAAUAGAGAUCCAAACUAAAAUUGUAAAUUAUUAAACAGGGAUAAAUACAUGGAGGGAAUUGACAUAUGCACAUAUUAGGUAGUUGAAACCAAGGUAAAUGAUGCAAGGCUACACAAAAUCAACAAAAAAAAUGAAGGCGUUAUUUAAUAGGCAGAAAAGAGAAAUGAUACCUUGCAUACACAGAAUACCAGAGCCACUGAAUAGCAAAAGAGGAACAUCAAAAGAGGGAGCCUUUUUCCUUUUCUUACCUCGGAACCGCUCGGCCUCUUGAUUGUAAUCGAGAAGCUUCUGCUUGAUUCGCUUCCCGGAGGUGAAAUCAAAGGCCGUGGAGGUGAAAUCGAAGGCCGCGGAGGGCUCGCUACCAAAUCAGAGAUGGAAAAAAUCAGAAAGAGAGAAAUAGGGUUUUUUUUUUUUUGCAAAUAAAAUUUUUACAGAGGCAUAUUAUAUAGGCAGCAAGAAGGGACCACGGAGGAUGAAUCCGAGCCAUUUUUGUGACCGGAGGGAAUGAAUAAGCCGAAACGAAGCGCCGCUAACAGGAACGGCGCGACAAGAAGAAGGGACGACCAUGAACUCGGCCCAACAUUCCAUCCAGAGAGGGAAUAGGAGUCGGAGCGGCAUCUAGGGGGUGAACGAAAUGAAGCGUCGCCAAAGGGAACGGGUGCGACGGCAAGAAGUUCGGCCAUGAACUCAGCCCAACAGUCCGUCCAAAGAGGGAACAGGAGUCGGAGCGGCACCUAGAGGAGCGAGCGAAGGAGCCGGAGGUGGAAGACGAAAUUAAUUAGAAGCAGGGAAGAUUAAAUGGGAAAAUUUAGUUGGGUGGGCCCCACCCACUAAUUAAAUAACAGAGUGCCUUAAGAUGACAGGUAGGGCCCACAGAAGAUUAGAUUAAGCUAAUGUCGCCACGUGGACAAAAGGAAACGGGGAUUCAUAAGAGUUUAUAUAUAUAUAUAUAUAUAUAUAUAUAUAUAUAUAUAUAUAUAUAUAUAUANUAAGUAACUUUUUUGGACUUCAACCGACCUAGCAGGUUUGAAACUAGGUUGCCGGAUUUUCUGAGUCACUACUAGUUCCUUGAGCUGAGGGGAGUGAUCUCGAGUUGGUGGAAUUCUUGUCUUGGUAGGAUUAGCUAUCGAGGUGGGUUCCAAGUCGCCGAAAACAGCGAAUUUCCUUCUAUGUCUAAAUUGAUAUAUAUAUAUAGAAUUGAGCUCCUAUGCUUUUAAAAGUACCAAGUCAUUGGUGCUUGUAAGUUUUCGGCCAUUGGAUUAAGGGAUGUGCGGUUAUGAUGAUGUGGGCCCCUUAGGGUUGAGUGGGUGGUUGGUUGAAUAGCAUGGUUUUAAGUGCCCAUCGGUACGGGCCGUAUCCACCGUGCCGUACCGUGCCAACAAGAUACCGGCACGAUACAGACCCCGUGCCGAUGACACAGCUCAAAACCCUCUACUCUUUAAAUUAGUAAGUAAUUUUCUCAAUAAAGUUCAAAAGAUGUGAUAAAAAGAUAUAAUAAAUAGUUAGAAUAUUUUGUUGCUAAAGAAAAUAAAUAUUUCAUGCUAUUAUGUGUCGGCACACAAGAGUUUUUUUGAUCGGCAUGCAUUGGCACUGCUUGGCACGCACUAUGCGGUACUGUGCCGGUAGGUUUCUGCUACGGCACUUAAAUCCUUGUUGAAUAGUAUGAUCUAACGGGUGAAAAUGAUCAAAGGCGUAGAUCUAACGGUAAAAAAUUUACAAGCACCAAGUGCUUGGUGCUUUUACAAGCACCAUAGCCGGACUCUCUCUCUCUCUCUCUCUCUCUCUCUCUCUCUCUCUUUCUCGCUAUAUAUAUAUAUAUAUAUAUAAAUAAAAUUAUAUAUGUAAUUAAUUAAUUUUAUUAAUAAAUUGCUUAAUAAAUUAUAUAAAUCGCGUGAUAAGAUCUAAUCCGAUAUAUGUGAUCUAAAUCAUGUAAAAUGACGAUAUACAAAAAAAAAUACAAAAUUUAAAUUUUUAUAAUAAAAUUUUAGAAAUGUGAUGUAUAGUAUUUACCAUACACCCAAUGCAUGAAAAAUAUUUUUCUCACCGUCGUAUCUUACAUUUCUCAACUAUGAAAAAUUAUUGCCUGCACUUGGUAUAUUAGUACAUUGCGCGCACCGAAUUUUCUUUUUAAUAUCAAUAUUAUAAAAUUAAAAUAUAAUCUAAUAUAUGUGAUCUACACCAUAUAAAAACUCUAUGUAUAAAAAAUUACAAAGUUUAGAUUUUUAUAAUAAAAAUUUAAAAACUUUGUGUAUAAGAUUCAUUCAUACAUAUGGUAGAAGAAAUAAUUUCUUUCUACUAUUUUAUUUCUCUUUUAUUUAUUAAUUUAUUUAAAUUAUUUAAAUAGAUUUCUUCAAAUCUUUUCCACAUAAGUUUUAUAAAUAAUUCAAUUACUAAAUAAUUUAAUUACUUAUAAGCUGUUAUGUAAUUUACGUUGCACAAACACCAAUUUUAGUUAUUUUUAUUUAAAUAGAUUUAAUUAUUAAAUUACUUUUAUAUAAUUUUAUUCAAUUAAUAAUUAGAUUAAUAAAAUUAUAUAAAAAUAUAAAAAUAUAAAAUAAAAUUUAGCAUUAAAAUAUUUUUAUAUCCGCAGCAUCGCGCGGGUCUUCCACUAGUGAUGCAAACUGAGAGGUUGCCAAAAGUAAAUUUUCACUUUUGCUUUUGUUUAAAGGUAAAACUAGGUUCAAUUUAUCAAUUCCGAUGAACUUUAAGAAAGGAAGCAAAAAUUUCAGCAAAACAAAAAUUAAAAUCGAAUUGAAGUAAUACUAAGAUGAUGAAAAACCUUCAAUAUAUGAGAUAAUAACAACCAACUGAAAAUACAUAUAAUAGUUCCAAAAGGUAAAUUCGGCUUUAUCGGAUUUAAAGCUUUAGGUUUGGUUGUUUGGCAAAUAUGGUUGGUAAUGGUGGAAGGUUAGAUUAAAAGGGGAUAAUAUGAUGUCAGGAGAUGAGAGAUACAAAAAGUGCACCGUUCACACGAUCGUGGGGGAUCCACGAUCGACAAGGAGGGCGGUACACCACGGCUAGAAUUUCGGCAACGGGGAAAAAGAAGAUGAGAUAGUGACUCGGAAGAAGAGGAGGGAUAGAAGUAGAAGCCGAUCUUGUCACGAGGAAGAAGCGACAACGAUCAAGUUGAGGAAGAAGACGAUCUCGGCGCGAGGAAGAAGAGUCGAUGAUCUCACCGGGAAGUGGAACACCAAGGAUAUAGAUUGAGAGUAGAAUUUUCUAUUCAUCCAAAUAUAUCCCUUAAGGUUUCAAGAACCAUGUAUUUAUAGUGUUGAAAGCUCUCUGAUAAUAAAUUAUUGUCUUUUCGUUUUCAACACAACACGGUCACCCAAGAGUCAUGCAUAGAAAACGAAGCAACUUUGGGAAUUUCAAAGGUCUUUCUUUUAUUUUUUUGGGGAAUUCCAAAGGUCUUUUUGGGAUUGAUUUUUUGUUUAUGGGAUAAAAGGGUUUGGGUUAGCCAAAUCAACUAAAACCAAAUGAUUUAAGUCCGAAUCAAACACGAACCUACAAAAUAAAAGAAAAUUGCAUUUGAAAAUAAAACGAGAUUUAUUUGCUGCAUCAGUUCCCCUCGAGUUGGGGAAAUCUCGACUUCGUCGAGAUGGCAUCCUGAUAUCUCUGGUACAAGUCCUCUUGAAGUUGGCGCAACUCCGCCUCAGAAAUCCAACUGCUAUCGGACAAUGGUCGUCCACGCCAACGCACCAACUAUCGGCGAUAAGUACCACGUCGGCACAUCCAGAAUAUCCUCCACGCCAUCUGAUGGAGUUUCAAUGUCGGAGCGAGAUGUCAAGCCAUCAAUAUCGACAGUAGAGGGGGCCUUUCCAUGGUACUCGUAUAGCUCGCUGACAUUGAAGAUCGGAGACGUCGAUACUUCUGGAGGUAGAUCAAUUAGAUAAGCAUUUUCCCCUAAUUUCUUCAGAAUUUUGAAUGGCCCGUACUUUUUCCUCUUCAACUUGCUAUAGCCUCCAGCUGAGAACCUUUCUUUUCUAAAUAGAUUAAGACAUUAUCUCCAUUAAAAGUCAUACCUCAGCGAUGUUUAUCAGCUGACUCCUUGUACUUGACAGUAGAAUCCCGCAACCUCUGAUGAACUUGUUGUUGCACCUCUUGAAUUUGUUUUAGGUAAUAGUUGGCAUCUGCACUAACUCUACCAGGGUAAGGUAUUGGUGCUCGGUCAAGAAAGUGGGCUAUAGGACAGCCAUAUAAAGCUUCAAAAGGAGAUUUUCCAAUGGUUCGGUUUAUGGAACUGUUAUAAGCAAAUUCAGCUUGAGGUAAAUUAAAUCCCAUUGUGUUGGUUUUUCUCCAACUAAACAUCUUAAGAGAUUACCCAAAGAUCGAUUUACUAUUUCCGUCUGCUCGUCAGUUUGUGGAUGGUAUGGGCUACUGAAAUUCAGUUUGCUUCCUGCCUUCGACAUUAAAGUUCUCCAAAAAUGACUAACAAAUUUUGUAUCUCGAUCAGAGGUAAUUGAUUUAGGAAUGCCAUGUAAACGUACAAUUUCAUUGAAAAAUAAUUUUGCAAUAUGUGAUGCAUCAGAAGUUUUCUUGCAAGGAAUAAAAUGAGCCAUUUUCGUAAAACGAUCAACAAUCACAAAAACUGAAUCAACUUGGCGUGCAGUCUUGGGUAGGCCUAGGACAAAGUCCAUGUUAAUAUCCUCCCAGGGCACAUUGGGAAUGGGCAGGGGAGUAUACAAGCCAGUAUUUUGAGUUUGUCCUUUAAAUGAUUGACAAGUCUUACACCGCUGAACAAACCUUUCAACGUCCUUCCUCAUGUUAGGCCAAUAAUACCUCUCUUGAACUAAUCCCAAAGUUUUGUCUCUCCCGAAAUGUCCUCCUAGCUCGCUAUGCAAGUUCUGAAUCAAGGACUCUCUUAACGAUCCCUGGGGAAUGCACAACUUGGACUUUCUAAAAAGAUACCGGCCGUCCAAACAGUAAUCAGAAGGUGAAUCACUAUCAGGAGAUAGGCACAUUUUUAGGAUAGGACCGAAGUUAGGGUCAUUUUGAUAUUGGUCCUUAACUAUCUCAAAUCCUACUAUCUGUAAGGAAGAAAUGAUAAGCAAAUAGUUUCUACGACUGAGUGCAUCAGCGACUCGAUUAGCAAUGCCUUGUUUAUGCCGCAAGUGAAAAGUGUAUUCUUGCAGGAAUGCAGACGCAUGUCUUUUGUUCGAGUUUUUUUUGAGAAUUUAAAUAUCGCAAUGCUUCAUGAUCCGAAUUAAGAAUAAACUCUCGAUGAAUCAAGUAGGGUCGCCAAUGUUUCAAAGCCUGCACGAUCGCGUAAAAUUCAAGAUCAUAAGUGGAGUAACGUACUCGUGCAUCGUUCAAUUUUUCACUAAAGAAGGCUAUAGGACGUUUCUUUUGAGACAGUACGCCUCCAAUUCCGAUAUGUGAGGCAUCACAAUCAAUCUCAAACACCUUUUCGAAGUCGGGCAAGGCAAGUACUGGAGCCUUUGUAAGUUUGUCCUUAGCCAAUUGAAAACUUUUUUCAGCUUCAGAUGUCCAAGUAAAUUUACCCCCUUUUAGGCAAUCAGUUAUUGGCGCAAUUAAUGAACUGAAAUUUCGAAUGAAACGCCGAUAAAACGACGCAAGUCCGUGGAAACUUCGGAUUUCAGUUAUAGUCUUUGGGGUUGGCCAAUUCUGAAUUGCUUCUAUCUUAACAGGAUCUACCUUAAUUCCCUCGGUGGACACCACAUAGCCUAAGAAGGUAAGGCUAUCGGUCAGAAAUGUACACUUCUUAAGAUUCAGAUGUAAGCUGUUAUCUCUUAAAGUUUGAAGCACUUGUCUUAAAUGAUCCAUAUGAGUUUCAGGACUCGUGCUAUAAAUCAGAAUGUCGUCGAAGUAAACUACGACAAAUUUUCCAAUGAAUGGUCGCAAGACUUGGUUCAUAGAGCGCAUGAAAGUACUAGGGGCAUUGGAUAGCCCAAACGGCAUAACCAACCACUCGUAUAAUCCUUCUUUAGUUUUAAACGCCGUUUUCCAUUCAUCUCCAGGUCGAAUACGGAUUUGAUGAUAUCCGCUCUUAAGGUCAAUCUUAGAGAAUAUCUUCGCACCUCCUAACAUGUCAAGCAUAUCAUCAAUCUCAGGAAUGGGAAACCUAUACUUGAUGGUAAUUUUGUUAACUGCACGACUGUCAAUACACAUUCGCUACGUUCCAUCCUUUUUUGGUGUAAGGAGGGCAGGCACCGCGACAGGGCUCAUACUUUCUCUAAUGUAACCUUUUUGCAGAAGUUCAAAAACCUGCCUAUAUAACUCUUCAUGCUCAGCGGGACUCAUCCUGUAAUGGGCUAGGUGUGGAAGACUAGCACCGGGUACAAAAUCAAUGCAGUGUUGGAUGUCUCUCAUAGGUGGAAGGCCAUCGGGGAGUUCCUCAGGCAUGAUAUCAGAAAAUUCAUUAAGCAAUGGUUGAACAACUUGAGGAACUUCAGUGUUCUUCGAUAUUUCUUUUGCCAAAAGAAUAUAUACCACUGGAGACUUUGCUAGAUCUUUAGAGAAUUGGCUUUUGUUCAAAACCAUCAUUUUCUGCUCAUUAUUGGAGGGUUGCUUUUGGGACUCAAUUGGCUUAGACUUUGGUUUGGGAAAGUAAUUUAGGGGAACCAAUCUAACUUUCUUUUUGUCCUUUUUGACAAUGUAAGUGUUCUCCCUACCAUCAUGUAUAGUGCUACGAUCAAAUUGCCAAGGUCUACCUAACAAUAGGUGACUCACAUCCAUGGGAACAACAUCACACCAAACUUUAUCAGCAUAAGUUUUCCCAAUAGAAAAUUCAACAAGACAUCUUUUAGUUACAGGAAAUUCAUCCCCAUCCUUAAACCAAGCUAUUUUGUAAGUUUGAGCAAGUUUUUCAGUUUUCAGUUUAAGCUUAUCAACUAUUUCUCAAGUGACAAAGUUUUUAGUACUUCCACUAUCAAUGACCAGAGAGCAAAACUUGCCUCCCGUGCUACAAAUGGUUCUGAAAAGGCUACGACGCUUCCAAUCAUCUUGGGUGGACUUAGAGGCUGAUAGGACUCGAUGGAUCAUGAGAUUUGUUUCAGUAGCAUCAGGAGAUUCUUCGGAAAUCUCAUCAACAUCUUCUUGUUCUAAAGUUUCUUCCCCAUUUUCAUUCUCUUCAUGACUUUCUAUUAGAUUGGCUCUAGAAUCAAAUUUUCUCAAAGGGCAAUCAGAGGAUUUAUGUCCAGGUUUGUUACAUUUAUAACAAAUGAUGCCAGAUUCAGCGGGUUUUGCACCUAAAAUUCCUUUGCCCUUGAGGUCUUGAACAAGUCUUGAAGAGGUAAUUAGUUUGAACUUGUUUCCACCACACUAAGGCAUGUCCUUUCAAUUUAAGGGAGACAAAUUUAACUUUUUUGUCAUCAGGUAAUUCUUUCCAUUCAAAAAAUUGUUCUAUUUUGUCUAGCCAAUCCACAAAAUCUUCAGGUUGUAAUUUACCCUCGAACUCACUCACGUCCACUUUAAUGCCCUGAUCCCAUCUAUGUAUAUUUCCUUGAUUUUGAAGAAGAGGAUUUCUUCUAACAGGUACAGUACGAUUGUCAAAAUCAGGGUCACUUUCCGAAUCUUCUCCAACUGCAGUUUGUUGUUGCAUACUUAAUCUUUCCAAUAGUUGUUGAAUGUUAUUCAUUUGAUUUUGCAUGCGUUUCAUGGAAUCUUGUUGUUUCUCAUAUGCUUCUCUCCAAUCACGAGGAUUUUCACUACUGCCAGCCAUUUCCAAAUGCUAACAAGUUGAUCAAAAAGUGAUGCCCUUUUUUUUUUGAAUAUUUUGGCCCAAAGUUGAAUACUAAGAAAAAGUUGUUUAGAUCAAAACAAACGCUGCCACGAAAAGAACUUUCUCUGAUACCAAUUGAUGCAAACCGAGAAGUUGCCAAAAGUGAAUUUUCACAUUUGCUUUUGUUUAAAGGUAAAACUAGGUUCAAUUUGUCAAUUCCGAUGAACUUUAAGCAAGGAAGCAAAAAUUUCAGCAAAACAAAAAUUAAAAUCGAAUUGAAGUAAUACUAAGAUGAUGAUAAACCUUCAAUAUAUGAGAUAAUAACAACCAACUGAAAAUACAUAUACUAGUUCCAAAAGGUAAAUUCGGCUUUAUCGAACUUAAAGCUUUAGGUUUGGUUGUUUGGCAAAUAUGGUUGGUAAUGGUGGAAGGCUAGAUUAAAAGGGGAUAAUAGGAUGUCAGGAGAUGAGAGAUACAAAAAGUGCACCGUUCACACGAUUGCGGGGGAUCCACGAUCGACGAGGAGGGCGGUACACCACAGGUAGAACUUCGGCAACGGGGAAGAAGAAGAUGAGGUAGUGACUCGGAAGAAGAGGAGGGGUAGAAGUAGAAGCCGAUCUUGUCAUGAGGAAGAAGCGACAACGAUCAAGUUGAAGAAAAAGACGAUCUCGGCGCGAGGAAGAAGCGUCGAUGAUCUCACCGGGAAGUAGAACAACAAGGAUAAAGAUUGAGAGUAGAAUUUUCUAUUCAUCCAAAUAUAUCCCUUAAGGCUUCAAGAACCAUGUAUUUAUAGUGUUGAAAGCCCUCUGAUAAUAAAUUAUUGUCUUUUCAUUUUCAACACAACACGGUCACCCAAGAGUCAUGCAUAGAAAACGAAGCAACUUUGGGAAUUUCAAAGGUCUUUCUUUUAUUUUUUUUUUGGGGAAUUCCAAAGGUCUUUUUGGGAUUGUUUUUUUGUUUAUGGGAGAAAAGGGUUUGGGUUAGCCAAAUCAACUAAAACCAAAUGAUUUAAGUCCGAAUCAAACACGAACCUACAAAAUAAAAGAAAACUGCAUUUGAAAAUAAAACGAGAUUUAUUUGCUGCAUCAACUAGUAGAUGCAUUAAUUUGUGGGUGUUAUUUUGUAUUCCUAAGUAUCUUUUAGUAUGUGCUUAACUUGGCAGACUGAUAUGCACAACUAUGGAUUAAUGGAUGUCUUAACAGACUAUCUCAAAGAAGUUUGGGGAUGCUUAUAUGCACUAUUAAAAGAUGUGAGUGGCCAAUGUGGAAAGAACCCCUUUCAUAUUUUGUUUGAGUUCAAAGGGAGAUUCUUCCUUUUCGUGAAGCUUGUUUUGCCUCACUAUUGACGCAAACUCUCUUACUAUGCCUGAACCUCAUUAUUGAGGCUCUACAUGGAACAAGUAUCACAAGGAAAUAUUUAGGGACUUGCAUUAACCUUUAGCAACCAGAAAUGGGAUGCAUUUUCCAUGCAAGGCGCACUUUAUAGAAACCAACUAUCUUGUUGAUAUAUAUAUGGUGUUAUAAUGUUGAAUACAUUCUGACAUCUUUGCCAAGUAAAAGAUUUUCUGUUGCUUAAUAUCUUGAUUGAUAAACAUAGAUUAGAGUGGUUUGUGAAAGAUAGGCUAAAGAGCUUGUCUUCUUGGGUUGUAUUCGUGCAAAUAUAUAAUACAAAAGAUAUGUCUACUAUAGUAAGAAUACCUACUAUAGUAAUAAUAAUACAACUGGGAUUAUAUACUAUAUAAUCCUACUCUAUAUAUGAUUGUAAUAUACAGUUUCUAAUAUAGAGUAUUAAUACUAAAUAUGUCGUAACAUCCCAUCGCAAACUAAGCAUCCAUCAGUUGGAUGCGAAGAUUGCGCCGCAGUGCUGAGAACCGAGAGGGUGAUAAAGGCUUAGUGAAAAUAUCAGCAAGUUGUUUAUUAGAAGAUAUAUGAACCAAUUCCAAAUCGCCAGUAUGGACUUUUUUCCGCAGGAACUGAUAAUCAAGUUCAAUGUGCUUUGUCCGAGCAUGAAGAACAAGAUCGAUCGCAAGGUAAGUGGAACUGAGGUUAUCAUAGUAGAUGCUGAUGGAGCGCCAUAGGAAAACAACAAGGUCACAAAGUAGAACGGAUCCAUACCGUCUCAACAAGCACGUAGGCUACAGUACGGUAUUCCGCUUUAGAACUAGAACGAGAAAUGGUAGGCUACUUAGUGGACCAGGAAAUAUGAUUAGGCCCCAAAAAGAUGCAAUAUCCAGAGGUAGAUCGACAUGUAUCUUGACAACUAGUCCAAUCAGCAUCUGCAAAUGCAAGAAGAAAAGGGUUUACGCAGCAGGAGAUCAGAAUGCUAUAAGUCAACGUCCCACGAAUAUAUAGGAGAAUAUGCUAACGGCUUGCAUUUGUGGGUCACAAGGAGCAUGUAGAAACUGAGCAAUAAAGUUGACGGCAUAUGAUAUAUCGGGCCGUGUGAAGGUGAGAUACUGUAGAGCACCAACAAUCUGACGAUAACGAUAGGGAUUCUCAAGGGGAUGCCCCUCAUGAGAAGAGAGGCGAGAAGUCGGAGAGAGGACUAGAGAUAGGCUUACUAUCAAGAAAACCAUGUUACUGAAGCAGUUGGUGUGUAUACUUGUGCUGAGAUAGACGAAGACUAGAAGUUGACGAUGAACCUCAAUGCCCAAAAAAUAAUGCAGCGGUCCGAGAUCUUUCAUAGCAAAUUCCUAUUGUAAGGUGGCGAUAAGAGCUUCUAGAGGAGAGGAGUUGCCGGUGACAAUAAUAUCAUCACCAUAUAAUAGAAGAACAGGAGUGCCAGAAGAGGAACGACAAGUGAACAUCGAAGGAUCAGCAGUGCUUCCAACAAAACCAAUUUCAUAAAGAAAUGACGUAAAUCGUUGAAACCAAGCCCGAGGUGCCUGUGUGAGACUAUAGAUUGCUUUGCGGAGAAGACAAACAUGAUGAGGAAAAGAGAGAUGCACAAGGCCAAGGUAGUUGUGCCAUAUAAACCUUUUCAGAGAGUGUGCCAUGAAAAAAAAUCAUUCUUGACCUCAAGUUGACGAAGGGACCACCCAGAGGAGAGAGCCAUUGAAAGAACAGUAUGAAUAGUGGUCAACUUGACAACUGGAGAAAAGGUUUCAUCAAAAUCAAUAUCGUAUUGCUGUUUGUAACCUUGAGCCACAAGCCGAGCUCUGAGACGUUCAAAAGAACCAUCCACCUUCUGCUUUACUUUGUAGACCCACUUUAACCGAUGAGAUUAACGAAAGAGGGAGGAACAAGAUCCCAAGUAGCAUUGGUCAGUAAGGCAUCAAAACCCUUAGUUAUGGCAACACGCCAACCAGCAUGCCAACCAAUAUCCUGAAAAGCUUCAUGAAAAGUGUAGGCUCAGUAGGAAGAACAGGACGCGCAGAAGCCAAUAAGGAGGUAGAUUUAGGCAAACCCUUAGUCAUUGACCGGGUGACCAUGGAGUGUUUUGGAAAGUAAAGGCAUCUCAGAAAGUAAAGGUAAAGGCAUUAUAUCCUGAGGGGGAAGGUGGACGACCAGGGGUGGAAGGUGUUGCAUUAGUAGGAGGCCGGAGGGUGUGUCGUCUUGUAUAGACCUAGAGCUCUGGUGGACUAGCGGCAGCGGCAUCAGUCCCAUUGCUAACCUAUGUGGCAUUAGAACUCAAGGUGGGUGGAAAUAUUGAUAAAUUCUCAGAUGGUGAAACAGGUGGAGUGGAAUCAACGUCAGUAGAGGGACGUGUGAAGGAGAAACCAGAGAUUGCAUCAAUAGUGGAAGGACUCUCACCCAGUAAGGGAGGAUUAGAAAGAAAUUUUUGAAACAGUUGAAAGUUGCAAGUAGUUGAAGAAGAAAAUUUGGAAAGGCAAGAAUAUGGAAAAACUGUUUCAACAAAAGUAACAUGCCGAAAAGUAAAAACUUUACCAGUUCUUGGAUAGAGACAACGAAAACUUUUAUGUUUAUAAGAGAGUCCCAAGAAGAGACAAGGAAGGGAUCGAGGAGAGAGCUUGUUAGCUGCAAUGUCCUGUACAUCGGGAUAACACAAACAUCCAAAAACUCUGACAAGUUGCAAGUUAGGAGAAGCACAACCAUACAGAAUUUUGUAUGACGAUCGUCCUUUCAAAACAGUAAGAGAAGGAAUUUGAUUCACAAGAAACAUAGCAGUUUGCAUGGCAUUAGCUCAGAACCGAGGAGGCAGGCAAGCAAGCUUGAAACAGUAGGCUUCUAAUAAUGUUAGAUAAAUGCCUAUGUUUCCUUUCGGCGAGGCCAUUUUGUUGAGUAUGAGGACAAGAGAAGUGGUGAAGAUUUCGUUUUGCGAGCAAAGUGUAGAAACAUGUUUUCAACCAUUGCUUUAAACUCGAGAAAUUUGUCAAAAACCUUAUGUUUAAAUUUUAAAAAAUAAAGCCAAGAAAAUCAAGAGUAAUUAUCGAUGUAUAUAACAUAAUAUUUGUAACCAGAAACUGAGGGAACGGGUGAUUGCCGUACAUUACAAUGAACAAUAUGAAAAAAAAAACAGAUAGAGAUUCAGAAUCAUGAAAUGAAAGUUUAACAUGUUUUCCCAUAUUACAAGCAUUGCAAACAGAGUGUCAAAGUAGAAUUACCAUUAGAAAUAAUUUUAUUGUUUUUAAUAAAUUUAGAAAGAACAAGAAGAUUAGGAUGACCUAAUCGUCUAUGCCAAAUAUCUCUACUAAACCUAGAUGUAACAAGAGCCAGCUGUUGCUUAUUUCCUACAGUUGCAACUUUAGAAGAAAUUGGAUAGAGUGAUGUUCCUAAGUUAGGGCAGCGAAAAAGCUCCCUCUCUAUUUCCUUGUCCUUCACAGAAAAAUCAGAAGAGUCAAAUUCAAAAAGGGACUUAUUGUCAUGACAGAAUUAUCGCACUGAAAGUAGAUUUCUCUUAAUAGAAGGAACAAAAAGAACAAUUUUAAGAGCAAAGGAAUUAGAGGGCGUAUUCAAUUGUGUUUUACCUGUCUGAGUAAUAUCAAGUAAUUUCCAUUACCAACAAGAAUUUUGCAUGCCCAAUAUAAGGUUUAGAAGAUGAGAGGAUACCGAGAUUCGCGGUCAUAUGAUUAGAGGCUCCAGUGUAUGGAUACCACACUUUCUCACCAGGUUCAUGAAAAUUCAUAGUAGCAAAAGUUUGAGGAACAUCAUCGGCAACGAAGGAUAGUUGAAAUAUUGUCUACAUUGGAGAGCAGAAUGGUUGUACUAUGAAAGAUAGGCUAAAGAGCUUGCCCUCUUGGAUUCUAUUCAUGCAAAUAUAUAAUACAAGAGAUAUGUCUACUAUAGUAAGAAUGCCUAGUAAUAAUAAUACAACUGGGAUUGUAUACUAUAUAAUCCUACUCUAUAUAUGAUAGUAAUAUACAAUUUCCUAAUAUAGAGUAUUAAUACUAAAUAUGUCGUAACAGUUUGUUUGAACAAUCUAUUAAAAAUUGGUGGCUUUCUCUUGUGCUUGUUGGCUUAGGCCUCAUCUCGUCAUUAGACUAACCCUUCGCCUAGUCUUUAAACUUUCUUAAAAAUUAGUUGUUGGUUGUUGAAGGAUCGUGAGAGCUAUGUGAUAAUAAACCAAUAUUGGAAGACUUGGGGAAUCAUUUCAGCAAGAAGUUCUGACCCUAAUGUGUGCUUUAUGUCGAUCAUUUCCAUUACUUAUAAUUUCUUCCUCUGUAUUGUUUGUACCAAACAAUUAUGGAGAGCAAAUGCUUUAGAACUACUUUCAUGCAAGUGCUUCCAUAUAGUUACUCAGAAAAGCAGAAGCAACACCGAAAGCUCUGAAUUUACAUUUACUGGAUGAGCGUUGUUGUUCCUCUUAUUUGCAUGCAAGUUCCAACUAACUGAUUUGCAAGAUAUAGCACAUAUAUAUUUUUCUCUUUAUUGUAUUUGCAAUUUCUUGUUCAAAUAGGACUGGUUAACCCUUGAGACAUCCCACUUGAGCUGUGAAUUUACAUCUAUUGGAUGAGCAUUGUCAUACCUGUCAUUUGCAUGCAAGUUCCAACUGACUGAUUUGGAAGAAAAAAUGCAGAUAUAUUUUUCUCUUUAUUGUAUUUGCAAUUUCAUAUUCAAGUUGGGCUGGUUAACCCUUAAUACAUCCCACUUGAGCUAUGAAUUUCCUUUAGAUGAGCUAGUUUGUGAUUUAUCUACUUUUUGAUUUCUUCUUAGACUUCUGUAAGUAGGACAAAAUCUCAAUGGUAAUUCAUGACUAUCUAUCCUUCAUAUGCAGUUUACAACAUUGCCUUUACUAUUCACUUCAGAAGGGCAAAAGAUGCCUUUCUGUUCUUGCUCUUUUCUUUUUGAAAUUUAUGAAUAUCAUGAACUCUGAAUCGUCUUGACGAUCUGGUCCCUGAUUCAUUAUUAGCCUUCUUUUCCGCUUCUUUUCAAACUUUUUAAAAUUUCCUGUGAAUGUUUGUUUUGCCAACCUUGAGCUUUUUGUGCAUAGUGUAAUGCUAAAAAUAACGCAACAAUGUCUACCUGCACAGGUGAGCCAUCACCCAAUGAUUGUUGCGUGCCACUGUGAGGGCAUCGGUUGGAAGUUCUGGGGAGAUAGUAACCUAAAGAGCAAGUUUUGGGGCCGUUCAAUUCAGCUUGACCCUCUAGGCAUCCUGACACUUGAGUUUGAUGAUGGCGAAGUUUUUCAAUGGAGCAAGGUAUUUUUGACCAGCACAUGGGAUUCUCUUCACCCCGAAUUUUUUUUUUUUUUUUUUUGGCAAUGUUUUCAAUAUAUAAACUAGAGUUGUAUGCUAUUUCAGGUGACAACCUCCAUUUACAACCUCAUAUUGGGUAAGCUUUAUUGUGAUCAUUAUGGUACUAUGCGCAUACAAGGAAAUCGUGAAUACUCAUGUAAGCUCAAGUUCAAGGAGCAGUCAAUAAUUGAUCGCAACCCGCAUCAGGUAAUAAACUCUGCAUACUCCUCACAUUAUAUAUAUAUAUUUUUUACUUUACCCAACAGCACUACAAUGCCUAAUUAUCUUUUGUUUUCUCAUUUCUUUCGGUGUAUUUAUUUCUCUCUUUGCUAAGGUUGAUGUUGUUGCAUAUGGAGUAAUAAAAUUUUCCAUUGUUAGUAUAUGUAUCUAGGACUAUUUUUGGCUGUAAUUCCAUAUCUUGCUUUGUUAUGGAUGAAUGUUAUUGUUGCUAGGUUUUUAUGUCACCACAAACAUGAACACCUAGUUGCUUUUCUGAAAUACUGAGCCACACUUCAAUUUGUUACUAAGGGGCUGUUUGCUUGCACGUAGUUGCAACUGCAUUUCAGUUAUAAUUGCAUGAAGAUCCAAAUCCGGCAUUUAUUUUGAUUCAUUUAAAUUUAACUGCAUGAGGAGUCUCAAUUGCAAUAGUUGAAACUAUGUCCAACUUGGCCGCAGUUCCAACUGCAAAACUUGAAGAGAGUUAUUUUAAUCAAAAGAAAGCUAACCUCCCUAAUAAUUUUUUAAAAGGGUUAAUUCCAUACAACUCCCUGUAAAUAUAACGAAUUGCAAAUAUAUCCCUACAGAGUUCAACUUUCUUAUGUUAUCCCUGCAAAAGUCCUAAUGUUUUCAAAUAUGCAUCUGCUAUUAGGAUCCGUGAGAAAAAUUUAGUUAGUCAUAGAUAAAAUACUUAACUUUGGUUAGUCAAUCAGGUAAAUUGACAUUUUUUACCUCUCUUAUAUUAUAUCUUCUUCUCUCAAUCAAAACCGUAGCAAUGGGAAUUCUACUUCUUCAUUCUGUUUCUUCUUCCUCUCUCUUCCUCUUCCUCUUCCUCUUCCUCUUCCUCUUCCUCUCUCUCCUUCAUGCUAGUUUCGAACCCGUAACUAGAAUUUCUCCAUCCCCAUUUAUCCACGACGUGUGUUGUUUCGCCCAUAUCGAACGUGUGUCGCUUUCCUACUCAAUUUUCUCUAUGAUUUUUUUUUUUAUUUUUUUAUUUUGCUCAAAAGAAAAGGUUUAGGAGAAAAUGAGUGAGAGAAGAGGUUGCAAUAAUGGUUGAUUGGGUUGGAUUUUAAAGAGGAAGAAAAUGUCACAAUUUUUUCAGGGGACAUUUUUGCAUGGUUAUAGAAGUUGGGGCUUUUGGAGGAUAUAUUUGUGAUGGCAAAAUUGACAUUUCACUUACCUGCUGUUAAAAAUAAACAGUUCUCUAACAGUAACAAUUUAAAGGGACAAAUAUGAAUAUCACUGGACUUUUGUAGGGCUAAGAGUUAAAAGUUGAACUUUGUAGGGAUAUAUUUGCUAUUCGCUAUGUUUGUAGGGGUCUGUAUGCAAUUAACCCUUUUUAAAAAGUUUUCUUUUUUCCUUACCUACCUAAGAAGUAAUUUCACCACUCCAUAUAUAAAAUGAUAAAAAUUCAUGAAUACACUUCUCAACCGCUUGCAACCAAACAAAAUAUUUAUAGUUGUAGUGUUGUCUACUAUAUCCAUUCAAAUAUUGUAAUUAUAAUUUUUGCAUUUUUGGUUGCAUGCAUCUUCAACUACGCUACAUUUAUAAUUACGUUGAACCAAACGACCCUUUAAUAUAUACACUGUAUUCAGUUUGCGCGCUGCAGCCUUGUCUUGUUAAGGGAAGUUUAUACAGCAAUCUGCUCAUUCAAUUUCACAGCCUUCACUGAUGAGUUACGCAUUAUUGACUUGUUGAGGGCAAUUUAGUGUAUAAGUGAAUCCUGCUUCGUGCUUCAUGUGAGUGGCAUCUUUAAGGAGAGAUCAGAUACAAAGCUUUUAUAAACCUUUACUUUGUGUUAUGAUUCAUAACAUGUGAUGCAUUUGUUCAGUUUCCUCUAAAUUUUUUCUGUCGCUGUAUUUCCCAUUCAUCCUUUACCAUUUUAAGUUUUGGUAGCUUGACGAAGUGACCACUUCCUUUAACGUUUGAGACAGACUGGUAUAUUUACAUGAUUAUAUGCAGGUUCAAGGCGUAGUUCAAGAUCGUAAUGGUAAAACAGUGGCUACACUCUUUGGUAAAUGGGACGAGAGCAUGCAUUAUGUGAAUGGAGAUUGCUUUGGAAAGGGGAAGGGGUCCGAUUCAUUCUCUGAGGCUGGCUUGCUCUGGAAACGCAGUAAACCAUCCAAGUGUCCCACUCGCUACAAUCUUACGCGUUUCGCCAUUACAUUGAAUGAGCUCACUCCUGGAUUAAAGGUGGGAGCCCAUUUUCGUUAUUUCUUAGAAACCAUUCUCCGUAAUUUCACCGGGGCUGUACAAUUAGAAUUACCGAUCAGUUUCUCAAAACAAAGAAUUGCUGAUUAGUUCUAUGCUUGGAACUGUUGAAUCUAUUUUAGGAAAAGCUGCCACCCACGGAUUCAAGACUCCGGCCUGAUCAGAGGUGCCUGGAGAAUGGUGAGUAUGAAAGGGCAAAUGCUGAGAAGUUGAGACUCGAACAGAGACAGAGACAGGUAAAUAUACCUUUGUAGUAGUUUAAUCUACAAAUUUUGAGGUCCUAAUGCAUUUACAAGCAGACGGAUGGAUUGUUUACAUCUGUUGGCUGUUUGAUUACCCAUCUCAAUAAUUUCUCUACACUUUCCUGACCGCUCAUCUGAAUACAAAUGGAUGAUAUACAUAGCCCGUAUGAUACCGAUAGUAUAUAUAGAUCAAAUAUAGAGAGAGAGAGAGAGAGAGAGAGAGAGAGAGAGAGAGAGAGAGAGAGAGAGAAUUGAGCUCCUAUACUUUUAAAAGUACCAAGUCAUUGGUGCUUGUAAAUUUUAGGCCAUUGGAUUAAAGGAUAUGCGGUUAGAAUGAUGUGAGCCCCCUAGGGUGAGAGAGAGAGAGAGAGAGAGAGAGAGAGAGAGAGAGAGAGAAAGAGAGAGAAAGAAUCAAAGACAAAGGCAUAAAUCUAAUGGUAAAAGGUGCUUGGUACUUUUACAAACAUCAUAGCAGAACUCAUAUAUAUAUAUAUAAUAUAUAUAUAUAUAUACAUACAUGUGUGUAUAUAUAGAGUCCGGCUAUAGUGCUUGUGAAAGCACAAAGCACUUGGUACUUGUAAAUUUUUUACCGUUAGAUCUACGCCUUUGAUCAUUUUCACCCGUUAUAUUAUACUAAACCAACCACCCACUCAACCCUAGGGGGUCCACAUCAUCCUAACCGCACAUUCCUUAAUCCAAUAACAAAAAAUCUACAAGCACCAACAAUUUGGUACUUUUAAAAGCAUAGGACCUCAAUUCUCUCUCUCUCUCUAUAUAUAUAUAUAUAUAGAGAGAGAGAGAGAGAGAGUCCAGCUGGGAUACUAUCGAACGUUUGGUGCUAUCAAUUUUUUCGCCAUUAGAUUUAAACCUUUGACUAUUUUCACCCGUUAGAUUAUAUUAUUAAACAAAUAACUCACUCAACCCUAGGAGGCCCACAUCAUCCUAACCGUACAUUUUUUUUUCAUCAAAGAAGCCGAAAACCUAAUAGCAUAAUAGCACCAAUAGCUUGAUACUAUUAAUAGUAUUCCAGCCUAGGUCAUAUAAAUAGAGUUCGGCUAUGAUGUUUGUAAAAGUACCAAGCACUUGGUGCUUGGAAAUUUUUUACCGAAAUCUAUGUCUUUGAUUAUUUUCAAUCGUUAGAUUAUACUAUUCAACCAACCAACCACCCACUCAACCCUAGGAGGCUCACAUCAUCCUAACCGCACAUCCCUUAAUCCAAUGGCCAAAAAUCUACAAGAACCAAUAACUUGGUACUUUUAAAAGCAUAGGAGCUCAAUUCUCUCUCUCUCUCUCUCUCUCUCUCUCUCUCUCUCUAUAUAUAUAUAUAUAUAUAGUUGAGCUAGAAUACUAUCGGUAGCAAACGGGCUAUGUUACCAUCCAUUUGUUUUCAAUGAUCGAGACUCCAAAUUGAUGAUCGACACCAUUGAAUAUGACGCAUACCGCUUGAAGCAUCUAGAAAUCAAAUUUCAUACUUUUUCAAUAUCGUUCUCUUGUCCAUCAAGUGGACACAACAAUGAACUGGUAAAAAUGAAUAUCCUUUAAAAGUGAUGAUAGGAGUUUUGUAAUCAAGAUUAAGAGUCUAGAUCUUGUUUUAAAUAGUUUAAGAAAAUUUUUAAUCAAAAUUCAAUUGAUUUAGAUAUCUUUACACCGUUAAACGAGAAACGUCUCAUAUCGACCGUUAAAAUUAUAAAUUUUGAAACUCUUUAAUCAUUAAGCCAAUGAUGUCGAAAAGACUUGAAAUUUGGUUUCUAGAUACUUCAAGUGGUAUGGAUCAUGUUCAACGGUGCCAAUCGUCGAUUUGGAAGCUCCAUCAUCGAAAACAAAUGGGUGACAACGAAGUCUGUUUGGUACCUUCUAGUUCACCUAUAUAUUAUAGGCUAGGGCUACUAUACUCUUAUGAGUAUAAAGCCCUUCGUAUUCAUAAGUUGUUUUCGAUGAUGAGGCUUCCGAAUCGACGAUCCACUCCGUUAAAUAUGAUCUAAAAUAUUUGAAACUUCUAAAAAAUAAAUUUCGUAAUUUUUCGAAAUCAUAAUAAAAAGUCUAUCAAGCGGGCAUAAAAUGAACGGCCAAAAUCGAACGACGUCCUAAAAAUAGAUGAUCGGAUCCUUCAAUUUAAGAUCGGAGUUAUUGAUUUUUAUCUAGGUAGUGAAUAGAAUUUUUCAAUCAAACAUUCAAUCUAUUCCGAUUCUUUUUUACCAUUAAACUAGCAAGUAUCCCAUAGCGGCCGUUAAAAAUUGUCAAUUUUGUGAGUUUUUGAUCGUAAGGUAAAUGAUAUCGAAAAAUUAUGAAAUUUGAUUUCUAGAAGUUUUAAAUGUUCUAGAUUAUGUUUAACGGUAUGGAUCGUCGAUUUGGAAGCUCUAUCAUCGAAAAUGACUUAUGAGUACGAGAGCGAUCGUACUCAUAAGAGUAUAGCAGUCGGACUCUAAUAUAUAUAUAUAUAUAUAUAUAGAGAGAGAGAGAGAGAGAGAGAGAGAUAAGCACAAUGAAAAAGAAAAAGAAAGGAAAAAAAAAAAACCUUGGUAAAAAAGGAUGGAAAUAACUGCUUUUGUUGCAAAUAUUGCGCGGUCACAUUGUUGCCUUGUUGAUUCUUUGCAUAUCUUAUUCUCUGAGCUUUUCAGGUUUAUGCUAUAUAGAUUGAAUAUCCCUUCCGGCGGACAGAGAUUGAAGCAGUAAUCUGAGUCUACAUUCCUGCUAUAUUUUUCAGUUUACUAUGUUUUUUUUUCUUUUUUCUUUUUUCUUUUUUUUUUUUCAUGUUUGGACCAUUUCAAUGCUUCUAUAAUGCAGCUCGUAGCGACGGAUAAAGCAAAAUUUGAUUGAUCUAUAUAUUAUAUGCAGGCGCGGAAUAUGCAGGAAAGGGGAUGGAAGCCUCGCUGGUUUGCAAAAGAUAAAGGAAGCGACACAUACCGCUACAUUGGCGGUUACUGGGAAGAUCGGGAAAAGGGCCAGUGGGACGGUUGCCCUGACAUAUUCGGCCAAAUUCCCACUGAUCCCUUGUUAACUGACUAGUGGUGGUUUGCAAACUUAGAUCAUCAUGUCUCUAGGUCUUUUCUUUUCUGUCCUUUUUUUUUAUUAGGAUUAUCUAGCUUUACUUGUUUUCUCUCUUUCUCUGAUGCUCGCCAUUUUCGAGCAACCAAAGUGCCUUCUAUGCUUGUAAACAAAGAAGAUAGUAUUUCUCAAAUGUUAUUAUUCUCUUAUACAAAAUAAUAGAAAGAGUUCUCAUUCCAAACGCAGCAUAAUCUACCUAUUCUAUCUUUAUUAUCUAUACAAUAACAUUAAAGGGCGAGCCAUUAACCGUUUUGUGCCUUCUCCUUGAUUUCGGAUGUGGCCCCCCAUCGACUAUUUUCCCCCCUCUCACCCAUCUGACGCGUGGGCCCCGUCUUCUUGAUUUCGGAUGUGACCCCUCGGUACUCUCUCUUCUUCCUGGCGCCUCGGCUCCCCUGUACUUUUCCUGCUGUGCUCUCCUGAUUCUUAUAUUCCCUGUAGGUUCCAUUUAAUUAAAGAGCGAACCCUUAACCAUUUUGGAUGUGGGACCCCCAUCGACCAUUUUUUCUCUCUCUCACCCCUCUGAGGCGUGGGUCCUCUCAGGUGGUGUUUCCUCUCCCUUCUUCUUGGCGGCUUGGCUUCCCCUACUUUUCCUACUGUGCUACUCCGAGGCUUCUCUUCUCUCGCUAUGUUUCUCCUUCUGCUUACUCCUAUGUUUCUCGUACGGUUUGUGCCCUCUUCGGCGCAUUAAUGGCGCCGCUCAGCUGCAGCUUGCCGGGAGAAUGCUCUUUUUUUUUCACCGUACGUCUGUAUUUACCGCAGAUCUGGGCAUUUAAUGCCGUUAUCAAACAGCCGGUUCCUCGGAAAUUGAUCCGUUUUGUGCCGUACGCCCAUAUCUACCUCAGAUCUGGGCAUUUAAUGUUCGCUGCAGGGCCGUCGCUUCCCGGAGAUAGGUGACCCUCGGCGUCGUAUAGCCUCCCAUCACGGCGCGGCGUAGCUGUCGCAACAGCACACUGCGCCGCUCGGCCGCGACGCCCUGCCUCCCCUCUCCUCUCUCUUCUUUUGCUUCGUUUCACACUGGUUUAUAUAUGUGCUCCCUUGGUUGAUAAGUCCCUUGCCUACUUUCUUCCGAACUUGCAAACUAGUUUGCUAUCUUUGUUGUUCUUCUUCGGCUACUUCCUUUUCUCUUCUCAUGUUGUCUGGUAUUUGGAUUUUUAUGUUGCUUGGAUGGUUGGAUGCCUAAUGGUUCCUGUGUUUUUAUGGUUCGUCUGAAAGUUUUUUCUAGGUUUUAAAAUUUUUUUGUGUUCUCUCAGUUUUUCUUAUUCUCUUCUAUUUUUUUGCAGCUUCUUUUCUUCUUUCGGGCUUUUUUUGCAAAUAGCCCCCUUACAAUUUUUUUUUUUAAAUAGUCCUGUCCAAAAUUUAUUUGCAAAAAUGGCCCUGACCCUGCCACGCAAGCGCCAAGUCAGCGCCACGUGGGCGGGGCUGGGGCCAGGUGUUUAAGUUGAACACGGUGAACCAUUCACCGUGUCACCGUGUUCAAAUACGGUGAAUGGUUCACCGUGUCCAAUGUAUUAUACACACCCAGGUUUGGGUGGCUAUAAUACAUAGGACACGGUGAAUGGUUCACCGUAUAAGAUAUGGAUCCCGAGGAUCUAAAAAGUAAUUAACACCUAGAGGGGGGUGAAUAGGUGUAAAAACGGCAAACUCAAAAAUCUCGAUGCAAAUAAAACGAAAUAGCGGAAAAGAAAACAGCACACCGAGAAUUUAACGUGGGAAAACUCCAAAUCGGAGUGAAAAAUCCACGGGACCAAUCACGCAAAGAAAAUCCACUAAGAAAAUAUGAGUACUAGUGAUUUUGACCAAAACACACGACUCAAUUUACCAACUUCCCGUAGAUGAUGAUCUUCGCCGGUCCUCGAUCGAUAAGAAUCCUCCAAUCGAUCUCACUGCAACUCCUUGCAGCGUCAACGCCUCAACUCCUUGAAGCGUCCACCGAAUCCUCGGCUACACGUGAACUCCACACGUCGAAUCUCCUUCCGGAGCUUGUAGAAUUGAAGAUUUGUGGUGAUUAAGCUUUAGAAUCCCAUAAGCUAUGAGGAUCUACCUUUAAUCAAACAUCUACUUGAUUCUCGUAUGAUUUCUUGAGUAAAAACAAAGAAUCAAGUCGAUUGUUGAUUGUUAGAAACUUGUUAUUAGAAUCAAACCAUAAGAACAAGAAUAACUAGUUUCUAGGGUUUAGAAUCAGUAAAAAUUCAAAGCCUUACCUCUUUAGAUGACCCUCAUAGCUUAUUUAUAUGUUUAGAAGACUUAGAAAUAGACUAGAAUUGUAAAAAGUCCUUUUUAAAAACCUGUGUCGUCCCCAGAGACCGGACUUCUCGAGGAGACCGGUCUGUGAGAGACCGGUCUCUCAAGUGAGGAACCGGUCCCUCGCUGCGUGACCAAAAUCACAACGUUCGGGAACCGGUCUCUCAUCUCAGGGAACCGGUUGCAUCAAAACUCACGCAGUGAGGACCUUAGGGGAACCGGUCUCUUGAACUCAGAGACCGGUCCCAGAACACAGAAAAGUUCAGUAAAGUAGUUUUAAAGCCAUCUAAGCCUUCUGAACUUAUUCUAAUUAGGUAUCUUCACCACAAAUGAUCUUUUCUCCAUACCUUAAGUGUCGAGCUUUCCGAAUGAGUCUUUAUUCUUCAAUUUGAAUCUUUUCUUCAAAACUUCUGCGAUCAACUCUUCAAGACUCCAACCAACUUUACGAAAUUCGCCAACCUAUAAAAUUCUUAACACACCGUGUCCAAUACACGAUGAACUGUUCACUGCGUUUAGACACGGUGAACCAUUCAUCGUGUCCUAUUCUAAUACCCCAGCCGUGUCCAAUGUAUACACACCCAAGUCUGGGUGUCUACACUACAUGGACACGGUGAAUAGUUCACUGUGUCCAAUCAGUUUAGACACGGCAAACCAUUCACCGUGUCCUAUACUAAAACCCCAUACAACUCUGGGGUAUUUGUAUUGGACACGGUGAAUGGUUCACCAUGUCCAGACACGGUGAACCAUUCACCAUGUUCUCUUUGAAUACAACCCCCGAGCUGUCUUCCUUUUCCUCCCCGAGCUGUCUUCCUCUUUCUCUCUCUCUCUCUCUCUCUCUCUCUCUGGCCGACGCUGCCCGCCGCGCGCCCUUCGCUGCCGCCGCCCUUUGUUGCCCGAGGUAGCUCCCCACUCCUUAUUAUCCCUCUAGCCCUAGAAGCCCCCACCCCCCACCUCUCUCUCUCUCCUCUCUCUCUUCUCUCUCUCUCUCUUUCUCUGUGCCACCCGGCCGCCGCCGCGCGACGCCGGCCCUCAUCACCCGUCCGAGAACACCCCCCACCCCGCUUGCUCUCUCUAACCGCUCUAGCUCUUCUCUCAUUUCACUGUGGCGCCCCCCCCCCCCACACAGUGGCUUCUCUCUGUGAGAAGCCUCUGUGAGACCCCUUCUCACAGUGGAUUCUCACUGUGAGAAGCCAAUGUGAGUCCCACAGAGGCUUCUCAUAGUGAGAAGCCUUUGUGAGGCCUCUCACAGGCAACCCCCCCCCUCACAGUGGCUUCUCUCUGUGAGACGCCUCUGUGAGUCUCACAGAGGCUUCUCACAGUGAGAAGCCUUUGUGAGGCCUCUCACUGUGCAAACCCCCCUCUCAGAGUCCUCUCACUGAUUGUUCUCGGUGUCUUUGUCACAAGUCAAUCCUUAGCUCUUAAUUGGCAAAGUAGUCGCGCCGACCGUGUUUGUACAAUGGUAAUAGCAUCUCUUACCUUCUCUUUUGUUGUAUGUUAGAAAUGUGGUAUGUCUUGAGUUUAAUAUUUUUGUACAUUUUAUUUUAUUACUUUAGAACUCUAUAUCUGGCGAUUUUGUUCCUUUCGAUAUCCAUUGGGAUGGAAAUUUUGUCGAGAACAAUAAUGUACCACGAUAUAUUGGUGGCGGUAAAGAAUUGGUUGCGGUCCGACGCAAUAUCUCAUUUCGGGAUUUAGAGAUGAAAAUAUACAAUGUUACUAAUUAUGAUCGAGUGGAAGACCGUCUACGCAUCACGGUGAAAUGUCCAAUGGGAGGCGAAUGGGAAUUAGUUAACAUAUCAAAUGACAAUACACUAUCUGGCGAUAUGAGUAUUUUUCCGUUCCAUGGAUGUAUAAAAUUAUUCGUGGAGAAAGAUGUGUUGACGACAAACCACCGUCCAAAUACCGUUUAUCAAAUGGAAAUGCGUCGUAGUCGCAAUGAUCAAAGGAAUUACGUCAAUCGUGAACAAGUUCGUACAUCAAGGUAUAAAGUAAUGAUCUUUAUAAAUCGUUUUCGUGAUUUCUCAAUUAGUUUAGGUGUGCGAAAUUAAUAACUUUGUCUUGUAAGUGUUACAGAGAGUUUGGAGUCCCAUCUCUGCCAGUUAGUGCAGCAUUGCCAUAUGCUAUGAUGGAUCCGUCUCCGUUGGUUGAUCAAAAUGAGUGGUAGGUGAUUGUAUGAUUUAGUUACAUGAAAAAUCAAUGUGAAUAGUUAAUCUUAUAUAUCUUUACAGAUCUACUGUCCCUCCUUAUUCAAGUGAAGAUCCAUCAUCUUAUGUUCAUGAAUGGAUGGAUUGGGAAGUCAGAACCACUAUCCUUCCUUAUCAAAAUGAAGGUCCAUCAUCUAGUGUUCAUGAAUGGCCGACUUGGGAAGUAAGAAGUACUAUCCCUCCUUAUCUAGAUGCAGGUCCAGGACCAUCUAGUGUUCAUGAAUGGCCGACUUGGGAAAUAAGAAAUACUAUCCCUUCUUAUCAAAAUGAAGGUCCAUCAUCUAGUGUUCAUGAAUGGCCGGCUUGGGAAGUAAGAAAUACUAUCCCUCCUUAUCUAGAUGCAGGUCCAGGACCAUCUAGUGUUCAUGAAUGACCGACUUGGGAAAUAAGAAAUACUAUCCCUUCUUAUCAAAAUGAAGGUCCAUCAUCUAGUGUUCAUGAAUGGCCGGCUUGGGAAGUAAGAAAUACUAUCCCUCCUUAUCUAGAUGCAGGUCCAGGACCAUCUAGUGUUCAUGAAUGACCGACUUGGGAAAUAAGAAAUACUAUCCCUUCUUAUCAAAAUGAAGGUCCAUCAUCUAGUGUUCAUGAAUGGCCGGCUUGGGAAGUAAGAAAUACUAUCCCUCCUUAUCAAAAUGAAGGUCCAUCAUCUACUCAUCGUGAAUGGACCAAUCGGGACGUGACUACAACUGAUAAUGAGGACGUAAUUCGAAGUGAUGAGGAGUAUGUUAGUGAAACUGAUGAAGAGGAUCAAGGGCGAAUUGAUGCUGAUUCUAGUGAUGACGAGGAGUCCUUUGUUGCGUGUUCUUUGGAUCCUGAUCAUGACGGUGGCUUGAAUGCCCUCGCAUGCGCCAUUCGAGAUGAAGGUGUUGAAUGGAUUGAAAACUCAAAUGCCAACAACGAAGAUGUACCGGACCCGGUGGAAUUCGUGGAAUUUGAAGAUCAACGACAACGGUUUGUCCUGGGUAAUGAAUUAAUUAAUCAAAGCGUUGUUGAUGCAUAUAGUGAACAAAAUAUUGAUCAGGGUCCUCCAAGUGAUGAAGCAUGGGCUAAUCGGACUUUUUCUGAUAAAUCAUCGCUAGUAAGGGCCUUGGACGCUUGGCACAUUGCACAUAAUGUGCAGCUUAAAGUUGUUAAGUCAAAUACAACUAGAUAUACUGUGCGAUGUGUGGUCGAUUCUUGCCCUUGGAGAUUACAUGCCUCUCAACCGAAAGGUAGUUCAUUUUUUAAAGUAAAGACUUAUAAAGGUCCGCACACUUGUUUGGUUCCAAUUCUAAAUACAAGACAUCGAAACUGCACAUCAUCUUUCAUAUGUCAAUUUAUACUACCUACACUGAAGGCAAGGCUUACAAUGAGUCCGAUGGAAAUUCAAGCUCGAGUUCAGAGCGAGUUACACGUUAGCAUAUCAUAUAGCAAGGCUUGGCGGGCACAGAAUAAAGCACUACAAAUUAUAUACGGUAGUUGGGAGCAAUCAUACUGCGACCUUCCUCGAUACUUCUCUAUGUUGGAAUCAACAAAUCCAGGAACUAUUACAAAGAUUGAGUAUAUUAGUGUGGCGAGCAAUACGAGAAUGUUUUCACGAGCCUUUUGGGCUUUUGGACCGUCGAUUCAUGGUUGGGAGUAUUGCCGGCCAUUACUUAGUAUCGAUGCUACUCAUCUGUAUGGGAAAUACGGAGGCCACGCAUUAAUUGCCACAGGUGUCGAUGCGAAUGGUGGUUUAUUUCCGCUAGCUUUCGCAAUUUGUGAGGGGGAGAAUGGCUCGAGUUGGGAGUGGUUUUUAAGUUGCCUAAGAAGGUAUAUAACAAGAUCUCGAGUUAUUACACUAAUUUCAGAUCGUUUUAAAGGCCUAGCGAACCUCGUUGCACUUGUAUUCCCACCAUCUGAAGGUCAUGCUCAUCGAUGGUGUUUGCGACAUAUGAAGGCCAAUAUGAAUAUUCAUUUCAAAGGAAAACACUUACUUAAAAUUUUUUAUCGAAUUGGGAGUGCUUCAGAAGAACGGCAAUAUUACGCAUUAAAGGAAGAAUUGAAGGCUAUGGAUGAAGAAGCUUGGCGUUGGGUUGACAAUCUUCAUAACGAUAGGACAUACUGGGCUAAAGCUUUUGAUGGUGGUCGACGAUUUGGUAUUAUGACAACUAACCGAUCGGAAAGUUUAAAUGGGGUGUUGAGGGGAGUUCGCGCCUUACCAAUUACAGCUUUUGUGAUGCAACGUUUCAUCGAGUGGUUGAAUUUUUCCUAAAACAUCAGGCGGAGGGCGCUGCAAUGUCUACGCAAUUUGUAUCGACUGUUGAAAACACCAUCAAUAGCCAGAUGAGAAGUGCUAGAGUAUAUACAGUUUGACGAUUCGGAUUUCACGAGUUCGACAUACUUACUGGCGGGGAUGAUGCAUACCAAGUGAUUAUCAAUGGAAGCAGUUCUACAUGUUCAUGUUUGUGUUUGCAACUCACAGGAAUCCCUUGUUCACACAUUUUGUCAUGUUGUAGUUCUUCACACAUGAACAUAGAUUAUUAUGGUUUAUGUUCUCCUUGGUAUACUGUCGUAUCCUAUACGACAUGUAAGGCUUAUGAAUCGCAAUUCCACCCGGUUCCUGAUCGUCGUUAUUGGAUCGCGUCAUAUGAAUCCCCUAUACUGCCACGCGGGAGAAGGAAAAAGGGACGACCCAGAUCUACGCGUAUCCGUAAUAUUAUGGACGAAGCCGCUGGGAAUAGGAGGGGCAAGUGUAGGAUCAAUACCACACUAGCUUUUCUAGGUUUCAUAACAAACAUGGCUUAAUAAUCAAAGUUCUCGCGUCAUAUGAAUCCCCUAUAUAGCUUUUCUAGGUUUCAUAACAAACAUGGCUUAAAAAUCAAAAAACCUAUGUCAAAUCCCUCUUAGGAUCAAUACCAUCAUCCUUAACAAAAGAACAGUGUAUAAAUACCUUGGAUUUUCUUGCUGUUGCAUUUCUUCUCACCUCCACUUCCAUCUUGCUCCAAACCCCUCUAAAUAUGUAGUACACUGGACCUUUACAAAUUGCGAGGUUCGAGUGACUGGAUGUGUUUCGAGCUUUUCCACACUUAGUGGAGGGUCGUAGAAUGUUUUUCGACCUAAAAAGUUCGAAAACCUGAAUUCUUGACGAGUCCUGAGAGUUUUCACUCUCGGGGACCGGUCCCUGAAAGGAGAGACCGGUCCCCCAGUGAGCAGUGUUGCGGCAGCCCUGAGGCAACCGGUCCCUGACGGGCGAGACCGGUCCCCGAGCGCGUCUACGAAGUGAAAGACCGGUCCCGCGCAGGAAGAGACCGGUUCCCGAACGUUGGUUUCUCGGGUUCGCAGCGAGAGACCGGUCCCUGCUGGGGAGAGACCGGUCCCUCUGGGCGAAAACUGCCCAUACCGGGCUGUUGCAAUAUUAGAUUUUUGAGGGACCUAGUUGGAUUUUGUUACAAUAGAGGGUCUAUAUGACCCAUCCACUCUCUCUUCUCCUCAUUUCUCUUCUCUCAACUCUCUCUACACCCUUGAUAGAGAAGAAGAAGAAGAAGGAGAAGGGGAAGAAGGAGGGAAGAAGAAGAAGUUUGAGAGCUACUAGUGGACUUGGAGCAUCUUCCUCACCCUAUCUUCUUCCUUGGUGCUUGGUGCUUGGACUUGGAGCUUGCAAGAGAGAAGAUCUUCACCCUUUGAGCUUGGAUUGAAGCUUCUUAGAGGUUGGUAGCCCUUUCUCUCCAUCUAGACUUUGGAUUUGAGGUUUUCUUGUGUUGGAACCCUAGAAUGAGAUUUUAGGGUUGAUUUUGGGGCUUUUUGAUCUAGGGCUUUUGGAGCUUGAUCACUUGGAUUAGAGCCUUCCUUUGGGUUGGAUUGGAAGGGAUUUAGCUCUCUUUUGGAGCUUAGGAAGAGAUUUUGCACUAGAGGUGAGUUUUGACCCUAUUUUUGAGAUGGUUAAUGUUUGAUCCUAUAGUUGAUCGUAAUGCCCGUGUAUCUCUUCGCUCAAUACUUUUAGGGUAUUUUGAGACUCGUGGACAACUCCGUUCGGCGAAUCGAAGGAGCACGCGACGGUUCGGUGGGUUUGACCUAGCCACACAAUGAGAAAAUCUCAUUGUUGAUGAUUUAAGUGUUAUAAAAUGAAAAAGCAUGCAUAUUCUUAUUAUAUGUAUUUAUUGUGAAUUUUAGAAUGCUUAAAAUGUCUAUGUUGCAUAUAGUAAAAUUUUGGGCCUCUAUGUAGUAGAGAGCAUGCAUGUGUGAUAUAGCAUUCUGGUUGAGAUUUGAAACUAAGAUCCCUAUUAUGAAAAUGAACCUUGCUUUCAUGCAUUUAGCUUAUUUGCCAAUUGUGACAUUAGGGAUUUUUGGAAGCCUAGAGAGGCUGGAGGACUUAGACUAUUUGAGAGAUUGGGCCAAUGUCAUAAAGAGGCAUUGGGCCCGGGCUAAAGUGAACCUUACAAGUAUUGUUUUAAUUGGAAUAUGGAACAUGAAUUGGGCAUGAUUAGUUGUGAUGCUUAGGUGUCAUAAAGAGGCACUAAGCAAGUGUGUGCGUCGGAGCGUCACUUUGAGACUUUAGACUAGAUCCUUGGGAUGCUAGUGACCUUGCCAUGUGAGAGGCAUGAGAGUAGAGUACUUGAGACUUUGACCUUGCUUGUUUGCCAUUUGUGCUCAUUCGCACAUGCUUGUGAGGGUCGCUCCCUACAAGCCGGCACUCCGGAGUUAGCCUACGCGACUUAUGUUCGCUCGUGCGGUAUUGAGAAGCCUACGGGGUCGAGUGGGACAGAUACAUUCCAAGAGUAGGGAUGUCGGGCUACCACAGGCACUUAGGCGGCACAAGCUGGAUUACCCUUGGUAGGUCCUUAAUUGGAAAUGGAAAUCGACACGGUGUUAAGAAUGAAUAAUCACUGCGAGAUAGGCUUAGUAGUUGGGUUACUUGACACGCUCAUGACAUAGCAUUGGGAUAUACAUAUAGUAUACUUACCUGUUUCAUUCAUUAUGUCAUAGUAUACUGGGUUGCAUGAUAGAGCUCAUUCUUUAUGCAUGACAUCUUGGACAGUAGCGUUUACUUGUAGCCAUCGGACGUACUUGUUUAUGAUAGCGUAGAUGUACAUCAUAUUUACAUCAUGCUUACUUGAGACAUAGUAAUAUAGCAUUUCAUAUAUGCUUUCUUUCAGCAGUUAUUGUACUCGCUCUUUAUUGCUUAUUAUUAUUGUCGUUACUUACCCUUUUCUUUUGGGGCCUAGUGGUGCAUUGAGCUGAGGUCAGUAAUUGCCCACUGGGAACUAUAAAUUAUAGUUUUCACGCUCUCUGUUUUGUAUUUUCUUUCAGAGCCUUCCACGCCGGGAGAGGCUAGGGACCGAGGGAAGGGCGUGGCUUCGAGCUAGCUCUUCAGCGAGUAAUGAGUCGCUAGGUGGUCUACCUCUCGAUGUUUUUAUUUUGUGAGAGGUUGAGAGUUGUACCCGUAUAUAUGUAUAGAGACCACCUUUCUUUUGGAUCUUGGUAUUUCUUUUAAGGAGUUAGUAUUGUAUCACCUUAUGCUUUACUUUCUUUGUUUAGUUAUAUUUCUUUUACUCUGGUUUAGAUGAUAGAACUUUUUACUCGCUCUGAUAUCAUUAGUUGUUAUUAUUUUAUUCGUUCUAUUUCUUGCUUUUACUUCCGCUUUAUUGUAGACGCCUUAUAUGUCACAUCUACACGUUGGACUGAAUGUAGAUAACGCCACUUCAUUGGAGUUGCAAGUGCGGGAGAGAUGGCUUUGUUAUGCAGAUGUCCUCCAGGGAAGUCAGAGAAUCCAUGAGGACAAUACGUUUCGCAAAUUGCUCAACGUAGGCCGCGCGCGACUGUUGGACAGCCAAGUACGGCAGAAAAGUGUAUGCUGGAUCAAACUGGUUCCAACAAUACCGCCGUGCGACCGCAGCACUUGGGGUUCAGUGGUCAGUGUGACUAGUUGAGACUAUUGUGUUGUUCUGCAACUAGUCUUCUGCGCUAGCUCGGAGGAUUAGACCCGACUUGGAAUCCGGCAGUUGAAGCCCCUACAUUGGGACCGUAUGAGGUUUGGAUGCGGUAAGUCCGGGUCGGUAGCGUAUGACUCGCUCGUACGCCAAACUAUCGCGGGUGUUACACAAUGUGUUUCAUGAUAUCCGUCCUGCGGAAGUAUAUCCACGACCCGGCUCAUAUUUUGGACGUACGCCUUUGGAGCUGGGGUGAUGCAGCUUUGGAGGAGCAACUUUGCGGAUUUUUGGCUCGGCGAAGCAGUAAAGAGAUAUUGCGGACACCGCUGACCAUUACACCCUACAGCGUGAAGCGUGUUGUAGGAGCAACCACGAUAGCGUUCGCCUGACUAUCGUGGCGACACAUGGUGAUAGCGCAUUGAGGGACCGCCCUAGAUCACCCUCUUUUUUUCAAUGGAGGCUAGUGGGGUACUUGUCAUCUUGUCGAGUUCGUCUGUGGACGAAACUCCCUUUUCAGGAUGGGUCCAGUGAAUGUAGUACAUUGGACCUUGCAAUUGCGAUGUGUUUCGAAGUGACUGGAUGUUGGUUUCGAGCCUUUUCCAUACGUUAAUGUGGUGAAGCGGUUCAUAGCUAUUUUUGACCAAAAGUUCGAAACCUGAAUCUUGACGAGUCCUGAGAGUUUUCACUCUCGUGGACCAGUCCCUGAAGGGAAAGACCGGUCCCCCAGUGAGCAGUGUUGCGGGCAGCCUCGGAGGCUACCCGGUCCCUGGUGGGCGAGACGGUCCCGAGCGCGUCUACGAAGUGAGAGAUCUGUCCGCGCGAGGGUGAGAGAGAUCGGUUCAUACCGAACGUUGGUUCUCGCGGCGUACGUUCGCCCAGUGAGAGACCACGUCCCUGACUGGGGGAUGAGACCGGUUCGGCCUUCUGCGUGCGAAAAAUGCCAGACCUGGGCUAGUUGCAACAUGUGGAUUUUGUGAGCGAUCCCUAAGUUGAUUGUUACAAUAGAGGGGUCUAUAUGAGCAUCACUCUUCUCUUCAUCCCAUUUCUCUCUCUCUAACUCUUCUACACCCUUGAUAGAGAAGAAGAAGAAGGAAGGAAGGGAAAAAGAAGAUAUAGACCCUGGAAGAGGAAUAAAAGUGUGAGGCUAUAGAUUGGUACUUGGGCCAUGCUUCUUCCAAACUAUCUUUUCUUGGUGCUAUUGGUGUCUUGACCUUGAUGUGCAAAGUAGCAAGAUCUUCACCCUUGAGCUUUGGAUUGUAAGUUUUUAGAGAGGUUGGAUCUAAGGCUUUCUCCUCUAGACUCUUGCUUGAGGGCUUUUCUUGUUUUGGCCCUAGAAUGAGAUUUAGCUGUUGAUUUGGGGCUUUUUGAUUGGUAGGCUUUGGUGAGCUUGCAUUCACUUGGAUUAGAGCCUUUCUUUUGGGUUAGGAUUGGAGAGAGAAUUUAGCUCUCUUUUGGAGUUUUAGAAGAGAUUUUGCACUUAGAGGUGAUUUUUCACCUCGGUGUUUUUGAGGAUGAUGGUUAAAUUUGAUCGUAUAGUGAUCGUAAUUAAUGCCGUGUAUCUGCGCUCAAUACUUUUAGGGUAUUUUGAGACUCCGGUGGACAACUGCCGUCGGCGAAUCGAAGCGAGCAACGCGACGCGUUUGAUGGGUUUGACCUAGCAAACACAAUGAGAAAUCUCAUGUUUGAUGAUUUAUAUAUUAUAAAGAUGAAUAAGCUGCAUAUUCUAGUUCAUAAUAUGAUAUUUAGUUGUGAAUUUUUAGAAUGCUUAAAAUGUCUAUGUUGCAUUAAGUAAAAUUUUGGGUCCUAUGUAGUAGAGAGCAUGCAUGUGUGAAUAUUGCAUCUAGGCGUGAUGCAUUUAGACAACUGCAUAGAUCCCCUAUUGAUGAAAUGAACCUUGGCUUUCAUAUGCAUUUAGUCUUAUUGCUCAAUUGUGAUCAUUGGGUUUUUGAACCCUUAUGAGAGGCUGGGAGAUACUUCAGGGAUUAUUUGUAUUGAUGAUUUGGGUCAAUGCUCGAUAAACGGCGAAAGGCGCAUGGUAGCCCCGCCGGCUAACGGAGGCUGAACCUUACGUAGUAUUGUUUUAAUGGAAUAUGGAACAUGAAUUGGGCAUGAUGUGUGUUGAUGCGUACGACGGUGGGUGUCAAAAGAGGCACGUAAGCAAGUGUGAUGCGUUGGAGGUCCUGGACUUUAGAUAGAUCCUGUGGGAUGCUAGGAGCCUUGCCAUGUGAGAGGCAUUGAGAGGUAGAGUACAUUGAGACUUUGGACCUUGCUUGUUUGCCAUUUGUGCUCAUUCGCAGAUGCUUGUGAGGCGCGCUCCCUACAAGCGCACUCCGAUGGUUCGCCUACGCGACUGUAUGUUGCUCGUCGUGCGGGUAUUGAAGAAGCCUACGGGGUUGAGUGGGAACGCACAUUCAAGACGUAGGAUGUCGGGUACCCGGCACUUUAGGCGGCACACGCGGUGGCUCCCUUUGGUAGGUCCUUAAUUGGAAAAUUGGAAAUCGACACAGUGUUAAGAAUUAAUAGUAUAUUCCAAGAUUGACUUACAGUCGGGAUAUCACAAGUUGAAGAUCAGACCUGAGGAUGUGUCGAAGACGGCUUUUAGAACAUGGUAUGGACAUUAUGAGUUUACUGUUAUGCCGUUUGGCCUUACUAAUGCCCCGGCAGUUUUUAUGGAUUUAAUGAACCGUGUUUUCAAGCCUUACUUAGACAGGUUUGUCGUGGUGUUCAUCGACGACAUUUUGGUCUAUUCCCGAAGUGAUGCAGAUCAUGAGGAACACUUGAGACUUGUACUUCAAGUGCUUCGGAAAAAGAAGCUCUAUGCCAAGUUGAAAAAGUGUGAAUUUUGGCUUAGAGAGGUGGCGUUUUUGGGCCAUUUGGUUUCAGGAUCAGGCAUAGCCGUGGACCCGAGGAAAAUAGAAGCUAUCAAGGAUUGGCCAAGGCCGACGAGCGUGACCGAGAUAAGGAGCUUCAUUGGUUUGGCCGGCUACUACCGACGGUUUGUUGAGGGGUUUGCAAAGUUAUCUACUCCCCUCACGAGACUCACGCAUAAAGGCACUAAGUUCAUUUGGAAUGAUGCGUGUGAAAGGAGCUUCCAAGAGUUGAAGCAGAGAUUGACGACCGCCCCGAUCCUUACCUUGCCGACUGCUGGAGCGGGGUAUGUGAUUUAUAGUGAUACUUCCUUUAAUGGAUUGGGCUGUGUUUUAAUGCAGGACGGGAAAGUGAUCGCGUAUGCAUCUCGCCAAUUGAAGGAAUAUGAAAGAAACUAUCCUACCCAUGACUUGGAAUUGGUGGACGUAGUCUUUGCAUUGAAGCUAUGGCGCCAUUAUCUCUACGGUGAGCGAUGCGAAGAAUAUACGGAUCAUAAGAGCUUAAAGUAUUUAUUCACCUAGAAGGAGUUGAACUUGAGGCAGCGCAGAUGAUUGGAGCUACUCAAGGAUUAUGAUUUGACGAUACUUUACCACCCCGGCAAGGCUAACGUGGUGGCUGAUGCGCUAAGUAGGAAAUCGACGGAAAACUUAGCGAUGCUUGUGGUUACUCAACCGCCAUUGAUCGAGCAGAUGAAGCGGUUAGAGUUGGAGGUGGUGGCUCCUGAUACACCUUUGAGACUGAUGACUUUGGUGGUGCAACCUACACUUAUAGAAAGGAUUAAAGAAAAGCAAGCUUCCGACUCGGAGUUGCAAAAGAUUCGAACUAAGAUAGUUGAUGGUUGCACCGGUGACUUCACUUUAGACGGUGAUGGAUUGAUGCAUUUCCGCGGACGACUUUGUGUACCGGCGGACUUGAACAUUAAAGAGGACAUUCUUCAAGAAGCACACCAAGCACCGUAUGCUAUACAUCCGGGAGGCACCAAGAUGUACAAGGACUUGAAGUUGCUGUAUUGGUGGCCCGGGAUGAAGAAGGAUGUUGGUGAGUUUGUUGCCAGAUGCUUAACUUGUCAACAGGUGAAGGCUGAGCACCGAGUUCUUGCGGGAAAGUUGCAGAGCCUACCGAUUCCAGUGUGGAAAUGGAAAAAGAUCACCAUGGACUUCGUGAUGGGACUGCCUCGCUCACAGGCCGGGCAUGACGCUAUUUGGGUGAUCGUGGAUAGGUUGACGAAAUCAGCACAUUUCAUACCUAUCCACACUACUUGGACUGGUGAGAGACUCGCAUAGGUAUACUUGGAUAAGAUUGUGCGAUUACACGGGGUACCUACUUCUAUAGUAUCGGAUUGAGACCCCCGUUUUGUAUCCCAUUUUUGGAGGAGCUUACAGGAUGCUUUGGGUACGCGCUUGGAUUUCAGCACUGCUUUCCACCCCCAGAGCGAUGGGCAGUCAGAGCGUACUAUACAGACCCUCGAGGACAUGCUUCGAGCCUGUGUGAUUGACUUCUAGGGAGGAUGGUCGCAGCAUCUACCGAUGGCAGAGUUUGCUUAUAACAACAGUUAUCAAGCAAGCAUCAAGAUGGCACCGUUCGAGGCACUCUAUGGNNNNNNNNNNNNNNNNNNNNNNNNNNNNNNNNNNNNNNNNNNNNNNNNNNNNNNNNNNNNNNNNNNNNNNNNNNNNNNNNNNNNNNNNNNNNNNNNNNNNGCCAGACAGCCAAUCCGAGAGCUGACCAAAAUCCAAAUUUUUGGGUUUUGGUGCAAGGCUUCGUACCACACUCCUCGGGACACAUGCCAUAGGUCGGAACACAGUCAACGACCUACCAGAAAAUCUGGAAAAGCUCAGAGCACAGCUAAUCACUCGAACCUCGUAAUUUGCAACGGUCCAGUGUGUUCCACAGUUGGAAGCAACGAAAUCCAAACGACGCGAAAUCCGAUACAAAACCAUAAAUUAGAGAGAACUUGAAGUAAUUACCUCUCUACCGCUGAGAUUCAGCUUCUCUGAGGGUUCAGCUGGUAAACGUACAACAAACCGCAGGAAAACACCUCUUUCCUAUGUGCCCAAGACCUCCCUUGAGUGUCCAAACCAGCGAGCAACGAGCGCGGCCCAAAAAAAACUUGAUUUGGCGCUUUUUGUGUAGAGAGAGAAAAAAAAACCCUAGAGAGAGAGAAGAAGAUGAAAGAAGCUUGCUCUGAUCUUCAGCAACCUUCCCUGAGCUCCCAGAGUCGUGCUGGACUCAAAUGGAUGAGAACAAGAGGUGAAAAGUCCAAAAUAACCCUGUUGUCCGGCAGCAGCUGACUCUGCUGCUUGCUGUACCGGUACAGCAUAAUGCCUGUACCGGUACACAAUGCAAAAUUUGCCCAAUGCGCAGAAGCAAUGCACUUUCUGGUCUCCGGUAAUCCGAUCACUCUCUAACUUGUCCAAGAACUUGUCCAAGCCUUUUAGAACAUGUAGGAUAGUUCUACAUUUCAUUCCACACAUUCGAACUCCGCAAUUUGCAAAAGUUCAGUGUAUUACAGGCCGACGCCGCCGCCGCCGCCGCCGCCCUUUGUUGCCCGAGGUAGCUUCAUUCCUCGUUCUCCCUAGCCCUAGAAGCUUCUCUCUCUCUCUUUCUCUCUCUCUCUCCCUCUGUGGCCCACACCGCCGCCGUCGGCGAUGCCGCCGCCGCCUUCACCCGCCUCUGUGAGGCUUCUCACAGUGAGAAGCCCCACCCCACCCCACACCCCACCCNNNNNNNNNNNNNNNNNNNNNNNNNNNNNNNNNNNNNNNNNNNNNNNNNNNNNNNNNNNNNNNNNNNNNNNNNNNNNNNNNNNNNNNNNNNNNNNNNNNNNNNNNNNNNNNNNNNNNNNNNNNNNNNNNNNNNNNNNNNNNNNNNNNNNNNNNNNNNNNNNNNNNNNNNNNNNNNNNNNNNNNNNNNNNNNNNNNNNNNNNNNNNNNNNNNNNNNNNNNNNNNNNNNNNNNNNNNNNNNNNNNNNNNNNNNNNNNNNNNNNNNNNNNNNNNNNNNNNNNNNNNNNNNNNNNNNNNNNNNNNNNNNNNNNNNNNNNNNNNNNNNNNNNNNNNNNNNNNNNNNNNNNNNNNNNNNNNNNNNNNNNNNNNNNNNNNNNNNNNNNNNNNNNNNNNNNNNNNNNNNNNNNNNNNNNNNNNNNNNNNNNNNNNNNNNNNNNNNNNNNNNNNNNNNNNNNNNNNNNNNNNNNNNNNNNNNNNNNNNNNNNNNNNNNNNNNNNNNNNNNNNNNNNNNNNNNNNNNNNNNNNNNNNNNNNNNNNNNNNNNNNNNNNNNNNNNNNNNNNNNNNNNNNNNNNNNNNNNNNNNNNNNNNNNNNNNNNNNNNNNNNNNNNNNNNNNNNNNNNNNNNNNNNNNNNNNNNNNNNNNNNNNNNNNNNNNNNNNNNNNNNNNNNNNNNNNNNNNNNNNNNNNNNNNNNNNNNNNNNNNNNNNNNNNNNNNNNNNNNNNNNNNNNNNNNNNNNNNNNNNNNNNNNNNNNNNNNNNNNNNNNNNNNNNNNNNNNNNNNNNNNNNNNNNNNNNNNNNNNNNNNNNNNNNNNNNNNNNNNNNNNNNNNNNNNNNNNNNNNNNNNNNNNNNNNNNNNNNNNNNNNNNNNNNNNNNNNNNNNNNNNNNNNNNNNNNNNNNNNNNNNNNNNNNNNNNNNNNNNNNNNNNNNNNNNNNNNNNNNNNNNNNNNNNNNNNNNNNNNNNNNNNNNNNNNNNNNNNNNNNNNNNNNNNNNNNNNNNNNNNNNNNNNNNNNNNNNNNNNNNNNNNNNNNNNNNNNNNNNNNNNNNNNNNNNNNNNNNNNNNNNNNNNNNNNNNNNNNNNNNNNNNNNNNNNNNNNNNNNNNNNNNNNNNNNNNNNNNNNNNNNNNNNNNNNNNNNNNNNNNNNNNNNNNNNNNNNNNNNNNNNNNNNNNNNNNNNNNNNNNNNNNNNNNNNNNNNNNNNNNNNNNNNNNNNNNNNNNNNNNNNNNNNNNNNNNNNNNNNNNNNNNNNNNNNNNNNNNNNNNNNNNNNNNNNNNNNNNNNNNNNNNNNNNNNUGGCCAGUAAGAAAUACUAUCCCUCCUUAUCAAAAUGAAGAUCCAUCAUGUACUCAUCGUGAAUGGACCAAUCGGGGAGUGACUACAACUGAUCUAUUGGACGUAAGUAGAAGUGAUGAGGAGUAUAUUAGUGAAACUGAUGAAGACACGGUGAACAGUUCACUGUGUUUAGACACGGUGAACGAAUCACCGUGUCUAAUGCAAUACUACCACCCCGGGCGGGGUGUGAGUAACACAAUGAACAUGGUGAUUGGUUCACCGUGUUUAGACACGGUGAACCAAUCACCGUGUUCAACUUGAAUACCUGGCCCAGACCCUGCCCGCGUGGCGCUGACGUGGCGUUGGCGUGGCAGGGCCAGGGCCAUUUUUGCAAAUAAAUUUUGGACAGGGCUAUUUUUGCAAAUAAAAUUUGUCAGGGGGCUAUUUGUAAAAAAAGCCCUAAUUUUGGGCUUUUGCAAAAGUGGGCCAGCUUUUUUAUUUAUGCAAAUUCAGUCCGAUUUUUCAGCAAACUGACCAAAAUGCCCUUGUACUUUUUUCUCUUUCUUCUUUUUUUUUGUCGUUUUUUUUUCCUUUCUCUUCCCAGAGAGCAGCAGAGGCGGAAACGCCACUCCUGCCCCGGCGACGUCGCCCUCGGCCCGCUCCGGCGAUUGUCGUCGGCGCAACGAGCUCCCUCUCCCUGCUCGACCUAAAUCCUCCGACUCUGCUGAGGCGCGCGCCGUCCUCUUUCUCCACUAAGGACACGGCGACGUUGAGCCGCAGGCUCUUUUCUCCACCAUGCGUCGGAACGCCGAGACGUCGUCGGAGCGGCGAGAUUCACCUCCGACGACGUCGGGGUGGUUGCGAUAGAAUAGAAACGCGCUGGGAAUCGCUCNNNNNNNNNNNNNNNNNNNNNNNNNNNNNNNNNNNNNNNNNNNNNNNNNNNNNNNNNNNNNNNNNNNNNNNNNNNNNNNNNNNNNNNNNNNNNNNNNNNNNNNNNNNNNNNNNNNNNNNNNNNNNNNNNNNNNNNNNNNNNNNNNNNNNNNNNNNNNNNNNNNNNNNNNNNNNNNNNNNNNNNNNNNNNNNNNNNNNNNNNNNNNNNNNNNNNNNNNNNNNNNNNNNNNNNNNNNNNNNNNNNNNNNNNNNNNNNNNNNNNNNNNNNNNNNNNNNNNNNNNNNNNNNNNNNNNNNNNNNNNNNNNNNNNNNNNNNNNNNNNNNNNNNNNNNNNNNNNNNNNNNNNNNNNNNNNNNNNNNNNNNNNNNNNNNNNNNNNNNNNNNNNNNNNNNNNNNNNNNNNNNNNNNNNNNNNNNNNNNNNNNNNNNNNNNNNNNNNNNNNNNNNNNNNNNNNNNNNNNNNNNNNNNNNNNNNNNNNNNNNNNNNNNNNNNNNNNNNNNNNNNNNNNNNNNNNNNNNNNNNNNNNNNNNNNNNNNNNNNNNNNNNNNNNNNNNNNNNNNNNNNNNNNNNNNNNNNNNNNNNNNNNNNNNNNNNNNNNNNNNNNNNNNNNNNNNNNNNNNNNNNNNNNNNNNNNNNNNNNNNNNNNNNNNNNNNNNNNNNNNNNNNNNNNNNNNNNNNNNNNNNNNNNNNNNNNNNNNNNNNNNNNNNNNNNNNNNNNNNNNNNNNNNNNNNNNNNNNNNNNNNNNNNNNNNNNNNNNNNNNNNNNNNNNNNNNNNNNNNNNNNNNNNNNNNNNNNNNNNNNNNNNNNNNNNNNNNNNNNNNNNNNNNNNNNNNNNNNNNNNNNNNNNNNNNNNNNNNNNNNNNNNNNNNNNNNNNNNNNNNNNNNNNNNNNNNNNNNNNNNNNNNNNNNNNNNNNNNNNNNNNNNNNNNNNNNNNNNNNNNNNNNNNNNNNNNNNNNNNNNNNNNNNNNNNNNNNNNNNNNNNNNNNNNNNNNNNNNNNNNNNNNNNNNNNNNNNNNNNNNNNNNNNNNNNNNNNNNNNNNNNNNNNNNNNNNNNNNNNNNNNNNNNNNNNNNNNNNNNNNNNNNNNNNNNNNNNNNNNNNNNNNNNNNNNNNNNNNNNNNNNNNNNNNNNNNNNNNNNNNNNNNNNNNNNNNNNNNNNNNNNNNNNNNNNNNNNNNNNNNNNNNNNNNNNNNNNNNNNNNNNNNNNNNNNNNNNNNNNNNNNNNNNNNNNNNNNNNNNNNNNNNNNNNNNNNNNNNNNNNNNNNNNNNNNNNNNNNNNNNNNNNNNNNNNNNNNNNNNNNNNNNNNNNNNNNNNNNNNNNNNNNNNNNNNNNNNNNNNNNNNNNNNNNNNNNNNNNNNNNNNNNNNNNNNNNNNNNNNNNNNNNNNNNNNNNNNNNNNNNNNNNNNNNNNNNNNNNNNNNNNUUUUUUUUUUUUUUCCUCUUUCUCUUUUUUCUUCUUCCUGCAGGAGAAGUUUCCUUCUUUUUUUUUUUCCUCUUUUUCUUCUUCUUCUUCUUCCUCUUUCUCAUGUACGCCAAGUUCUGCCACCCCGCCACCAACCUCUUUGCCUCCGCCGCACCCGCCUCGCGCGGCUCCGCGGCACCCUGCGCCUACCCCCAACACCGCUCCGCCGCCGCACCGCUCCUUUUUUUCUCUCUUUUUUUUAAAAGGUCAAAGCGGGCGCGGCGGAGUGAGGCGAGGAGGGAGGCGGCGGAGCGAGGACAGGAAGAGGGAGAGGGAGGAGGCGGCGGAGCGGAGCGACAGUAGGUGGAAGAGGAUGCUCGGGUGCCGCGAGAGCACCUGUCCCCGGAGUUCGACUCGUCGCAAUUCUCGUCGCAGGCGUUGUCGUCUGGGUCGGCGACGUCGUGCGCGGAGUCCCUGCACGAGGCCAUUCAAGUGCUGCAGAGCACCUGCGAUCCGGCCCAGUAGAGGGGAAGAAGAAAAAGGAGAAAUGGUGCAAUUUCGCCCAAAAUCGCACCAUUUUGUCUAAUUUUGCACUAUUUCGCCCAAUUUUGCACUAUUUCGCUCAAAAUUGUACAAUUUCUUCUUCUCCAUCUUUUCCUCUUUCUUUUUUUUAACACUAUUACACCAGUUUUUAUACCUUAAAAAAAUAUAUUUUUUAACCACUUGCGCCGCCGCCCCCGCCCGUGUCGCCGCGUUGUGUGCGAUGUUCGCCCCAGCGCUGUCCCCGGCGAGGAACACCCGCCCCGGGUCCCCACGCGCCGCCACCCACGGGCCGUCUCCGCCGCCGCCGGAGCAGGCGAGGGAGGAGGGGACAGAGCCAUCAAUGGUAGAGGCGCAGAGGUCAAGGAGAGCGAGGGUUCGGGGGAGCGCGGCGGGGCGGGGGACGAGGCUUGGGAGGGGGAAGGAGGAGGCGUUGAGGGACUCGAGGCGAGGGAGAAGACGGCGGAGCGGUGUUGGGGCGAGGCGCGGGGUGCUGCGGAGCCGCGCGAGGCGGGUGCGGCGAAGGCCAGAGAGCGCGAGGAUGGGGGUGGCGCCGCACCCACUCCGGCCGAUCCGCCACCGCCGCCGCCUCCUCUCCCCCGCCCCCACCAUCGCCAACACCCUCAUCGCCUCUGCCUCCGCCUCCAGAGCCGGCGGGUGGGUGCUGCUCCUGCAAGAAGAAGAAUAAAAAGAAAAAGAGGAAAAAAAAAAGCUGCGCCUGUAGGAAGAAGAAGAAGAAAAAGAAGAAGAGAAAUAGGGAAAAAAAAAAAACUGCUCUUGCAGGAGGAAGAAGAAGAAGAAGAGAAGAAAGAGGAAAAAAAAAAGUAGUGUAAAAUUUUUCUAAAUGGUGCAACCUGGACCUAAAGAGUGUAAAAUUUAUUUAAAAAAAGUGUAAUUUUUAUAUCAAAUAGUGCAAUUUUCUUUAAAACAGUGUAAAUUUUGUUUAAAACAGUGUAAUUUUAUUUUAAGAGUGCAAUUCUUAUCAUCUUUUUUUUUUCUCCUAUAUUUUUUAAUCUUUUCUAUAGAAAAAAUAAUUUUUAUUUUUAUUUUUAUUAUUCUUAUUUUUUUCUAUAAUUUUUUUUUGUCACCACCUUUUCCUCCCUUACUUUCUAUCACAACCACAGCGACGUCGUCGGAGGUGAUCUCGCUGCCUCUGACGACGUCUCGGCCUUCCGACGCGUAGGGGAGAAGAAGAGCCUGCGUCUCAACGUCGCUGUGCCCUAGUGGAGAAGAGGGUGGCGGCGCGGCCUCAGCAAGGUCGGAGGAUUCGGGUCGAGGCAAGGGAGACGGGCUCGUUGCCGGAGUGGGCGAGGGCGACGUCGCCGGGGCAGGGGGUGGCGUUUCCGCCUUCGCCGCUCUCUGGGAAGAGAAAGGAAAAAAGAACGACAAAAAAAAGGAGAGAGAAAAAGGUACAAGGUCAUUUUGGUUAGUGUGCUGAAAAAUCAGACCGAAUCUGCAAAAACGAAAAAGGUGGACCACUUUUGCAAAAUCCCAAAAUUAGUGGAUUUUUUAUGCAAAUUGGCCAAAUUUUUUUUUUGGCCAAUAUGCAUAAAAAAUUCAGUAAUUUUGAUAUUUUACAAAAAUGAUCACUAUUUUAAAUUUUACAGAUUUAAUUUUAAUUUUUAGAAAACUGGACAAAAUAUUCUUCUUUCUCUCUCUCUCUCAUUCCUUUUUUUCUCAUUCUUUUUUUUCUUUCUGACUCUCAUCGCCUCCUCCACCGCUUCCAUGAUCCUUGGCGACGAUAAGAAGGGCGGCACCAGCUCCUAUUCUUUUGCCUCCACUUCUGCCUUCGUCAUUCCGGCACCGACACCGAUGCCGACGCCGAAGGAGGAGAAUUCGGAGUUAACGCGGGUGAGGACGGAGCGGAUGGCAGUGAUGAGGUCGUGGCUGAGACGAUGCUCGCUGUCGCUUGUGAGGGUAAGGAUGAAGAUGCUCUCGCGCUUCUCUAAGGAGCAAAAAAGGAUGCAGAGGGUAAAAAAAUAAAAAUAAAAAAGAUAAAGAAAAAAAAAAUAUUUUUUUCCUUAAAAGACUAUUAUGUAUCGUUGUUGCUACAAAAAAGACUAAGAACUAGAGAAGAAUAAGAUGAAGUUGCACUAUUAAGAAAAAGUUGCAUUGUUUCAAAAAAAUUGCACUGUUUAGACACGAACGUUGCACUCUUUAAGACGAAAUUUGUACUCUUUGAAAUGAAAGUUAUACUUUUUGAACGAAAGUUACACUAGUUGAACGAAAAUUGCACUCUACAACUGUCAGGCCCCGAGCCCCGCCUAUUUGGCUGAGUUCGGGCGCGUCGACAGACCGCCGAACGGACAGAGUUUCCCCUGUACGUCCUAGGCGUCGCAAUCAAUACAAUGAACAUUACAAGGGUUCCAACCAGGAACAGAUAUCAAUCAUGAUUGCAUAAGGAAAGUAUCACAACAUAACACAUCCUAUGUUAUUACAUGCAUUCACAAUAAUACAUUUACUUUACAUCCAACUCCCAAAUGCAAUUAAGUUAUUACAUCAUUUGCUUAUUACAAAUUGAUACAUUGUAUUCUUUUUAUUUCCCAAACCCCUAGGCGUAGUCGACGGGGUAUUGUAUCUUUGGCUCUGAGUAGGACCGUAUCUAUAGAGCUAGCCUUCUUUCGCGCGCCGUCCGCGCCCUCGACGUGCGAACCUGAACACCCCUAAAACAACGCUGGGGUGAGAACCAACUCCAUGUGUCCCAGUCGGUUACGACCACCCACAGGGAGUGGAAGGCCCAAUCGAGAUUAGGUCCAAAGAGGUAACAACACGUUAGUUCAAUAGAUAGAUAUGAAAUCAUAAUUUAAAUGCAACUAACAUAUAUCAUGCUUUGCCUCACAAUAUGAACAGGAAUUUAUGCAACUAUGCAACUGUAUAAACAACUAGUAGAUGUGUUAUUAUACAUUACUUUUGCUAACUUAGCUCAUUUCAUUCAAUUAUAAGGUUUCUAUUACCUUACGGUUCUUGCCUUAAUCACUAGCUUAUAAGGUUUCUAUUAACCUUGAUCACGCCCGGACCGAUGCCAUUUGCCCGACCCGCGGCACGAUCAAACAGAGCCCGAACGGACAGAGUUUCCCUAUCGCCAAGUAUAAUGUACAUUUUCAAUAAGAGUGCCACUAGCGGAAAAAACAUUUUUACCCAAACGGUUCACGGAGGUAAAGCAAUAGCCAUUAGUGAAAGAAAAAGAAAAACUAACAUUCCUUGUUACUAUGAUUCAUUUUGGAUACGCAUACAUUGCAUUCUCUAGUAAUUUAAGAAUUUCUUACAUUCAUUACAUCAUCUCUUUCUGACAUCAUUUGCUCAAAAUAAGCUUUCAUUCUCUUCUUUACAUUCACUUUAAUUCAAGUACAACAAGAUGAUAAAAGGGUGUCUACUACAAAAUGCUACCAACUUGGUUUGGCCUCUGUCUAAGGCGCGAUACCUUUACUCGUGUCGCUCGCCGGCUCGCUCGGUCCGGCUCUGUGGAAAUAGUGGGGUGAGAAACAACAAGUUCCCAGUGGGGUUCGCCCCCACAUCACGACUUUCCCAGCUGGGACGACUCAGGCACAUAGAAAGGAUUAAGUAGAAAUAUAGUAACCAAUCUAUAACAUGAUGCUAAUGGCUGAACAAAGCAAGGAAUAAUGCUCAACAUUAAAUUAAAUCAGGUUAUGAUGUUCGUUUGAGUUUCUUUGCAGCUUUACAUUUGUUUUUACUCUUUGUCUUUAAUCAUUAAGGGUCUAGCCGCGGUGCGUUUCGCACUUUAACUUGCUUCAAAUUUAGUCAUCAUCGCAGGAACUCGCACGUCAGCUAGGACCGGUCCUUACGGGUUUAACUCCACCCGGCAUGCAUAACAUCCGGAGCGCAUGCGCCCGAGGGGGAGCGACCACCCUUCUGAGCACGGAACUCCAUAGACAAGUAUGAUGAAUCCUUAACUCAAAGGAUUAUAAGUUCAAUUUGCUUUAACACUAGUCUAGUGUUCUUUACAUCCACUUGAUGUGCAAAUCAUGCAAUCACAUUCUUUACAUUUCCUUUACCCUUGCUAACUCUAGCAUUCAAAGUUGUUCUCAUUGCCACUUUACCUUAAACUUCUACUCGUUCUGUCCAUUUUCAUCAUUCUUUACAUCACUUUAGUCUUUACAUCCCUAACUCUGUGUAUUUGCACAUUAGUUUUAUCGAAUGUGACUCGAUCUAUGUCAUUUGUGUCACUCUGUGCUUUUGCUCACGUUUGGGUGCUCACAUUCCUCUCAUGCAUACAUCUAGGGGUUUGACAUAUUGUUCUCACCAUCUCAGUAUGCAAGUUUGAACUAACAUUAUGCAAUCAUACAACUUUUGAUCGUUACUUUCCCUAAAAUGCAUGCAAAAUGUAUAUAACAUAUGCCAAGGAGACACAUUAGCAUAAGAGAAUUUCAAUGAGUUUUGGAAAAGCACGCACCACGUCGUUAGGCGUACAGGUGCUCGAUAAUUUUUUGGGAUUUUUAGAAUCUUCGUUCAUUUACCUGCGGCAAAACGAACCUAUUAGGGCCAUUGCUGGCAUAAUCAUUGUACUUCUGGCUUUUGCGUAAUACGUUAAUCGAGCGCACCAAACGGCGGUCGGACAAUACCCCAAUUUAGGUUUUUGAAGGGUCAAUUUUCAUUUAGAAAUCCACCAUGAGCAAAGGCACCAAUUUGGUGCCCUAAUGCUCCAAUAACACUAUCAAACUUAGGGUUUGAUCUCAUUGGGAAGCAAAGUAGCUUCAUAUUAUAUCAAAUAAUCCAUUGUAGAACCAUUCUUAGGCUUUCCAAAACCCUAGUUUGGAUUGUUAACCCAUUAGAGGGUGGCCCUAAGAAACCUGAGGCUCAACAUGGGAUUUGAUCUCUAAAAGCAACAAAGAAAGCUUCAAAACUGAUAGACAUGUCCUUAAAAACCAUCCUAGGUUCUUCAAACUCACAUUUUAGGUUUUACUACAUUAGGCGUGAAGGCUCCCUACUCAAAGCUUUCUCACCUUUUUUCCCCAUUUAAGGCUAUGAGAUGGAAGGGAAGGAGUUCUUCCUUCUUCUUCUUCUCUCCACUUUCCUUCCUUUCUUUUCCUUUUUUUCUUCUUUCUUCUUCUUCUCUUUUUUUCUUGAGAAGAGAGGCAGAGAAGAAGUGUGAGAGGGGUGAAAAUGAGAGAAAAUUCUCAUUUCACCCGCCAUACUAUACUCAAUGGGCUGCUAAAAUGCAAAUAAACCCUCCUUUUACUUUAUUACACUGCCCGAAUUGGCAGUUGCCGCAGGCAGGAGACCCGGUCUCCCGAGCAGGACGCGGUUCCCGAAGUCGCACGCCUGCGCAGCCAGAGUCCUCCGCAGAGCAGCAGAAUCGCGGGCGCCCGAAUAGGAGCGCGAGCCGGUCUCCCUCCGAUGGGACUCGGUCUCUGGGGACCGGUUCUCUCAGGCAGAGACGCGUUCCCGGAGCCAUCUUCCAGGACUUAGCGAUUUUCGGGGCCGUAUCACUCUCGCACCGUUCGGGGACCGGUCUCUCCUUUCAGGGACCGGUCCCGAGAGCUGAAAAUCUGAUCUUGUACUUGCAGAAUUCAUUCUUUUAGCUCUCGAAACGCCCCGUAACAUCACUUUUAACCUUUUUAACACCUUCAGACUUCGCCGAAGUGUACGCGCCUGACUUUGGUCAUGUUGACUAAUAGUUCGAAUUUUAUCUUUUCGCAAUUUUCGGGUAUAUUAAAACCUAAUCAAGCUAACCACCCGACUCGGCCUCGAGUCAAUCAUCCGCGGAUAGUCCGCGCACUGGCUGCAUCUCAGCCUGGCUGCCGUCACAGCCUACCGCAAAUCUGACUUAACUAUCUGGUGGCGAACUCAUCGCAUUGAACCCAACAACAACUUAAGUCAUGACUUAGCCAUCUGGCGGCGAACUAAUCGCACCUCACCCAACAAUGGUUCAAGAUGUGACUUACUCAUCUGGCAGCGACCACAUCGCUCUUACCCAACAAGGUUCAAGUCAAUCUAGACGGCAUCAUCUGAUAAGCUAAUGGGCGAGGAGAACCACACAUACCAAAUUCCAGCUUAUUCUCAUGGCAUCCCGGGCGAGGAGAACCACACAUACCCGUUGAAUCACUGCCAGGCGAGGAGAACCACACAUACCUGCAGUUAGGAUUCGCUUGCCAUCUCUUUUACCACAAUUUUCACCGCUCCAUGUGCGGCCACAUCACUAGGGAUUCCGGAAUCCAUUUCAUAACUCAAGGGUUGGUUUCAAACCCUAUAGCAUUGACCUAUCUAGGUCCAACGUCCUUUUCACUCUAGGUCCAACUGACUCUAGGUUCAACGUCUCUAUCACAUAACCUAGGUUUACUUAACUCUAGGUUCAAUCCAUAACCUAUGUCCUUUAACACUAGGUUAGAUGCCACUCAUCAUUCAUCCUAGGUUCAACAACACUAGGUUCAUUGUCAUUCAUGUCCAACCUAUGUUUUUAUACACUAGGUUAGAUGCCACUCGAUCUAGUUCACAUGACUCUAGAUUCAUUCACAACCUAUGUUCUUUAACACUAGGUUAAGUGCCACUCGAUCUAUUUGACAUCCUAAUUGUCCAUGUCGAGUUCCAUAACUAUCCACAUUUUAUCUAGCAUGCAUUAUGUGAUGCCAACAUGCAUAAUCUUUCUCACAUGAUCUACAACAUGUUAAUAUGCAUGUAAUCUAGCAUAUUCUCAUCAUGUCAUCAUACAUGUAUUAACAAGCAUAUUUACAUUAUGUCAUUAACAUGCAUUCUUUACCAUAUGCUCACAUGCAUUAUUUAGCAUUUCUAUAAUAUGUUCAUCAUGCAUUCUAUGGUAGUCGUAGCAUAGCAAUUAACAUGCAUUCGCCUAGCAUUUAACUCUUGCAUUCAUCUACCAUUUAUAUGCAUCAAUAUGAAUUUACAUUUCUCUUAGACAUAAAGGGCGACCUAGUCGCUUCGGUAAGCACAACCCACCUUAACUUACUCUCCGAUUGCUUGUAGUCACUUGCAAUCGGCCGCCCGCGACACCCGCGACCCGGUUUGGCUCGAACUCUCGCGCAAUCACCCAAACGAUCUCCGAUUUGCGAUCCGAAAAUUAAAGGUCUUCGGUUAUGUGCCACGGUGCUUCAAAUCCGUUUUCAUGAUUUUACGACGUCGCCUCGGCCCUCCAGGCGGAAACGAAGCCUAAACGUCCGUUUCUUUAAUAACUUUGUAACGGCUCGUCGGAUUGCCGAUCCGUCUUCGCCAACGCGUUUCGUUACCUAGCAAUUAGGUUUAUAUAUGUUCAAUUUAGAUCAAACCCAUCUAUUAGCAAAAAUUGCAUUUUGGAGCCCUAGGUUGCAACUAUGCAAGAAAUCAUCAAAUCCCUUCACGAAUUAAGCAUCAAUCAUCUAGAUAGCAUGCUAGGAUUCCUCUAAAUCCAUUUCUAAGCUAUUUAAACCAACCAUUAAGGAUCUACCAUUAAAGGGUAGCAAAAGCUUACCUCAAAAUUAGCUCCAAAUCAUGGAGAAGAUGAAGAAGACGAAGGCAAUCCACCUCCAAGCUUCAAUCUCCACCAAAUCCAUCCAUUUUGGGAGAGAUUUAGAGAGAGAAAUGGAAGUUCUCUCUCUCCCUUCCAUGCAUGCGUGUGUGUGUGUGUGUCGCAUGCGGUUUGGGGCUGCUGCGGCUGAGGAAGGAGAAGAAGAAAAGGGAUUAAAUCCCUUUUUACCAUUUUGCCCCUCAACUAUACACUAUUCACUACGGGCAGCUUGAAAUCUGAUAAAUUUCGUUGGAGCCCUUCCGGAUGUCCGUUUUCGUUCAAAUUUGA
rnacentral:lncRNA from 1 species